UCCUCUCCAACCUCUUAGGUUCAGAGGCCCAGUCUAGGGGUCAAGAGAAUCAGUAGAUCUUUCAAAUAGAGUUGCAGAGACAAGUGGUGAGCCUUCUAUGUUUCGGAAGGUCUUAUGUCCUGCAGUCCUUUUAUCUUAUAUUCAGUUUUGGGGGUCUGCUGGGGGCCUUGUUCCAAUUUUCAGAUAGACAUUAUUUCAGUCAUAAAGUAGAGAUUUCGUAGACGAUUUUAGAGAUGUUGAUUUAGAUUGUGGGACACUAUUCCCCAUUGUCGUUUUCAUAUGAUUCGUGACCAUGUUUCUGUUAUAUUGUGUUUCUUCCGCAUUACUUUGAUCAUAUGAAUUAUAUGCAUGAUUAUCAGACAGAUAGGGGUGUUUUGGGCCUCCAUAGUUUGAAAUGCUCGUCACGGCUAGGCCCUGGUUCGGGUCAUGAGACCAUAUGUUGUAUAAGAGGCAUAUUCAAAUGGUGUUUACUAGCUUGUCGAUGCAGAUGGUGUGAGGGUUGGCCCCAUCAAUGACAAGUUCUUGAAGAAGUACUAUCCUUGAAGGAAGAUGACACUCCUUAAGGCACGAGUAUAAACUGCAUGUACACUCCUUAAGGCACGAGUAUAAAUUGCAUGUCCACUCUUGGCCCGCAAGAGUAUAAACUGUGUACGGCUAAAAAAAAAUAAAAGUCCGCUAGGUUGAAAACCUCGGAAGAGACGACCUAGGCAAAAGUUCGGAAACAAAAAAAACACUCACCCAGAACUACUUUGUGACUUGAUCCUUCAUUGAGGUACGUAGGGGCUUAGAAUUUCAUUCUUAGUUCAGUUGCAUGAGUUUCAAAAAAAAAUAUGUUCCUGCAGUAUCUACUAUAUGGAUACCAAGUAUGAAAAUAUUCUAAUUAAAUUUUGGACUCACUCCACGUAUUAGUGGCUCAAUAGGGGAAAACUCCAAUGAAAUAUGAGCUUCAUUCACAUAAGAUGAAGUCUCCNNNNNNNNNNNNNNNNNNNNNNNNNNNNNNNNNUUGAGAGUGAAAUUUUGACAAAAUUUCCAAGUCUUCAAAUCAAGGCCUCUCGCGGGUUUAUCCUUAAAAUGACCUAAAAAUUUCCAUGCCUUAAGGUGAACAAAAUUUGUCCCUUUGCACCUUAAAUUGGCCUCUCACGGGUUUAUCCUUAAAAGGAUCUCAAAAUUUCUAUGCCUUAAGGUGGACAAAAUUUAUCCCUUUUCACCUUAAGUUGGCCUAUCAAGGGUUUAUCCUUAAAAGGAUAUCAAAAUUUCUAUGCCUUAAGGUGGACAAGAUUUGUCUCUUUGUGCCUUAAACUGGCUUCUAACGAGUUUAUCCUUAAAGUAUAUUGAAAUUUCCAUGCCUUAAGGUGGACAAGAUUUGUCCCUUUGCACCUUAAGUUUAUCCUUAAAAGGGCCCAUAUUUAAAGAAGACCGUUGCAUAAGUGCAUCGAUGAAAGGGCCCAUACUUAGAGAAGACCAUUGCAUAAAUGCAUUAGUAAAGGGCUCAUACUUAAAGAAGACAAUUGCAUAAGUGCAUCGAUGAAAGGGCCCAUACUUAGAGAAGACCAUUGCAUAAAUGCAUUAGUAAAGGGUCCAUACUUAAAGAAGACAAUUGCAUAAGUGCAUCGAUGAAAGGGCCCAUACUUAAAGAAAAUCAUUCUGUCUUCAAGCAAAGUUUUUCGGCCUUAAGGUGACGGAAGCGAAGUUAAACUCUCGCACCUUAAUCCGGUUUUCAAUGUCUUCAAGCAAAGUCUUUCGGUCUUAAGGUGACGGAGAAGAAGUUAAAAUCUCGCACCUUAAGCCGGCCAAUUAUUGCAGUCUUUCGAUCUUAAGGUGAUAGAGGCGAAGUUAAGCUCUCGCCACCUUAAGCUGGCCAAUUAUCACAUAAGUCUUUCGGUAUUAAGGUGACAGAGGCGAAGUUAAACUCUCGUCACCUUAAUCCGUCUAAUUAUUGCAUAAGUCUUUCGGUCUUAAGGUGACAGAGGCGAAGUUAAACUCUCGCCACCUUAAGUCGGCCAAUUGUUGCAUAUUGCUAUUUGGUUCAACCCUGCAAAAAAAAAAAGGAAAAACAAGAAAGAAAGUAAAAAAACACAAACAGAAAGGAUGUUACCUGUUAGAGCAUUGCGAUCUUAAAAGUUGUAUAUCACCAACUUGGAUUGAGAUAAGAUGCCUUGAUGAGAAUAAAGCCCUCAAAAUUGAGUUUGAAGCAAUUAAAACUCCCUUUGAUGGUGAUGGUCCCACAUCAAGAUAUAAAUUAUUUGGUGAGGUGAUGCAAAUCUGUAAUCCUCUGUCGGACAGCAUAUAAAGAUCGACUUCAAAAAGUCAUCUAGAACAAUCCAAAAAGUGUUAAAAUCCAAAAUUUGGAUAUAUUAUACAUGCAUGUUUUCGGGAUUAAGCGGAUCAUAAUUUCAAUACUCUCACAUUGAGAUAUAAUUUUUUUUUGGUGAUGUUGCAUAAAUCUGAAUUGUUGAUGCAUCAAAACUCGAUGUUGAUUUCGGGAUAACACCUGAAAAUAUCUCGAUUUUAUUAAAUUACAAAUUUUGGAUAUGUUAUAUAUCUUUGUUUCUAGUUUCACAAGAAUCAAGCGGCUUGUGAUUUCAUCCUUCCUACUUCAAGAUAUGAAAGUUUUAGUAAAGACGCGUAAAUCUGAAAUUUUCAGCAUGAUAAAAUUCUGGGCUAACUUCAAAAUAUUAUCGAAAAUUAUAUUGAAGGAAUUUAAAGCUGAAUUUUUGAUAUGUUAUAGAUCUCGAAGUCUAGUUUCUGGAAUAUCAAAUAGUUUAUGAUUUCAAUAUUCCUACAAUUAGAUAUAAAUUUUUUUACCACAAAUAUGCUGUGCUGAAAAAAAGUGACGAAAAUAAGAGAAAAGUAGGAGGGAAAGAAAUUCCCUCAAUAUUGUUUAUGGCUUGAAAAUCCUAAAAUCGAUAUUGAGAAAGUGGGGAAACUACCUCCUUUUAUAGAGUUGUAGGAUGGAUGUUUCCUUCUCCAAUAUAAGUUCAGAUUGGAAUAAUUUCUAUCUCCAAAUUCAAAUUGGAGAUUGUUUUCUUCUCCCAUACAAAUUCAAAUUGAAAAUCGCUUCCUUCUGCCAUUCAAAAUUAAAUUGGAGGUUAUUUUCUUCUCCCAUACAAAUUCAAAUUAGAGGUUGAUUUUCUUCUCUCAUACAAAAUUCAAAUUGGAGGUUGUUUUCUUCUCCCAUACAAAUUCAAAUUGGAGGUUCUUUAUUUCUCCAAUCUAAGUUCAAAUUGGAAGAGUUUUAUUCCUGAUUAAGUAAGGUGAUGAAAAAGUCUUCCAAAAUCUGUUUGAAAUUGGAUAUCAUGCCUUACUAACGGGGUCUUAAGUAUAGAGAUUCGUGAAAAAAAAUAAGAGAGUUUUGAGAGGCAAUAUCAAUAUGGUUCGGCUUUAAUUUUUUUGAAUGGGGUAUUCAUACGUAUCAAAAUCGCUGAAGCACGAAGAAAACAUGUUUAAAUAAUCAUACUUCAAGGCUAGUCUCCAAAAUAUUAAAUGUCUCGACAAGUCUUGAAGUAGGGGCCAUUUGUGGCGUUUGUGGGUGAUGCAAUUUUGAAGAUUUAAAUCCAUACAAAAUUCGGAUUAUAUUAAAUUCAAAAUAUAUUAGUCCCAAAUAAAUAUUUCGGAUUAAUAUAAUUGGAUUAAUUAUUUAAGUCCAAACAUAUGGAUUUAAUUAAAGUCCAUUUUUUUUAUUGGGUUAGCCCAUUGAUUUGGGCUACAAAUGAUGAGCCCACUUUGCUAAGCGCAAGAUAUUUUCAUAUUCUACAGGCCCAAAUAAAUGUCACGUGUCAAAUGACGUGGCAUGCCAAGUCAAGUGAAGGAGUGUAACACCGCGUAUUUUUGGGCUAGAAUUUAGACCAUCGUUCCUACGUAUAUAGAUUCGAACUGAAUUAUUCUUUAUUAACAUACGUGUGGUAAACACUCCUAUCGUAAUGCCCCAUAAAAUUCUCGAGUCGAUUUCAUUUUUAGUGUUAUGUUUGAGGGGCUAACAACUAGAAUAUUUUUCUUAGUGUAACGAGAACUUAGAGUCAUUUCAGCUGGCAAUCUUCGGGAUACAACUUUUCAACCUUUUCGACAUUCGUUUUUAGAUUUUCAAGUUGCGUUACGAUCGGGAAAGCUCAUAUUACAUCUCGGAUAAGUUUUGGAAUUUUUCAGAACGCAUAAGUCUGCGUUUCGAUUUCAAAACAGUAGCAAAACGAAUAGCCUAUUGCCCAGUUUUCAGUAUUUCAGGGUCAACUUAAAAUGAUCAUAUCUCUCUGAAUAUAAUGAACUGAGAGAGAUGAUACCUAUAAAAUGAAAUAUCUUUGAGUCUUCUUUCUAAUGCAACUGGUUUCAUCCAAAUCCAACAUCUGAGUAAGGAGUUAUACCCAUUUUACUUUAGCCUGUCAGCUUGUCAACUGAGGGACAGUUUCGAAUUUGUUUGUUUUCUUAGGGGCAUUUUAGUCAUUUCACCUCACCUAAAUUUCGUCUAUAACACCAGAUUUAGCCCCCAAUUCAUCAAAAUAUAAUCCUUUUCUCAAAUUUUCUCUCAAGAACACCCCUUAGGGUUUCAAAAUAAAAACCCCAAUAACUCAAGAUUCAACCAUGGAUUUUCAAAAAAAAUUGAAGAUUUGGAAUCCCCGCAACGUAGGCUUCAAGAAGCACCUAUCAUAUUCGCAUAUAGAGGUACGUGGGGUUAUCUCAAAAAUCUCAUGGGCUUAACAAUUCAUGUUUUAAAAAUGGGGGUUUUGAAAUUAUGAAUAUAAGCAUGUUUCAAGCAUCUUUAUGAUAUUGAUUUGGUCUUUAGGCCUUAUUCCAAAGUGAUUUGAUAUAUGAUAUAUGUAUAUGCAUGUAUUCCAAAAAUAUGUUAACUUGAGAGCAUGAAUGAUAUGUAAUCCCUCUCUUGAUGUGAAUUUAUUUUAAAUGUUCAUAUGAUGUAAAUUGUUUGAAAACAUCUUGAAAAGCAUGACAUGAAAUGUUUUGAGAAUUGAUAUGAUUUUGACUUGAAUAUGAGAGGGCUAUUUGUGUUGAAACAUAUUGAAUACAAUGGUUGAAUGAGAAGAAUGAUGUGAUAUUGAUGGNNNNNNNNNNNNNNNNNNNNNNNNNNNNNNNNNNNNNNNNNNNNNNNNNNNNNNNNNNNNNNNNNNNNNNNNNNNNNNNNNNNNNNNNNNNNNNNNNNNNNNNNNNNNNNNNNNNNNNNNNNNNNNNNNNNNNNNNNNNNNNNNNNNNNNNNNNNNNNNNNNNNNNNNNNNNNNNNNNNNNNNNNNNNNNNNNNNNNNNNNNNNNNNNNNNNNNNNNNNNNNNNNNNNNNNNNNNNNNNNNNNNNNNNNNNNNNNNNNNNNNNNNNNNNNNNNNNNNNNNNNNNNNNNNNNNNNNNNNNNNNNNNNNNNNNNNNNNNNNNNNNNNNNNNNNNNNNNNNNNNNNNNNNNNNNNNNNNNNNNNNNNNNNNNNNNNNNNNNNNNNNNNNNNNNNNNNNNNNNNNNNNNUGCUUUAUAAUGGAUCUCAACUAUAUUUUAUAAAAAUAUUAUGUUUUGUUUUGAUAUCUCUGCGUACCAGUACUUUUGUAUUGACCCCCUUCCCUCCCAGGUUCGGAGGCACAGUCUAGGGGUCCAGAAAAUCAGUAGAUUUCCUCAGACAGAUUCGCAGAGUCACUUGGUGAGCCUUCUAUAUUUCGGAAGGCCUGAUAUCUGGCAGUUUCAUUUAUCAUUUAUUUGUUUUGGGUCUACUGGGGGCCUUGUCCCAGUUUUCAGAUAGAUAUUUGUUUCAGUCAUGUAGUAGAGAUUUCGCAGACGUUAUAGAGAUGUUGAUUGAGAUUGUGGGACAUUAUUCCCCAUUAUUGUUUUCAUAUGAUUCUUGACCAUGUUUCCGUUAUAUAGUGUAUCUUCCGCAUUUUUUUUUCAUAUAAGUCAUGUGCAUGAUUAUCGGAUAGAUAAGGGGUGUUUCGGGCCUUGAUGGUUCGGAAUACUCGUCAUGGCCAGGGCCCCGGUUCGGGUCGUGACAAGGAGCCAAUAGGAUCAUGCCACAUGUCAAAAUAAUGCAGCAGCCUCAAUAAAAUCAAAGCCCAUAAAAGGCGCCAUGUCACUUGAAUUUGAUUGGUCAAAUGAAGUCCAUCUUCAUCAUGACUGUUCCUUUUCCACAACUAUAAAUAGAGUUCUCAUAAUUCAGAAAGAGGAACCCAGAACUCUAACAAGUAGCAAGAGAAAGCUUGUGAAUCAAACGCCACAAUUUCUCUAAAAAGCUCAAGCAUUCAAAUCAAGUUCAUCAAGAUUCAAGAUCAAGACCGCAAUAUUCAAGAACAAGCUCAAAAACCCUUGAAUUCAAGAUCAAGUCCCUCAAACCAUUCAAAUCAAGUUCAAAUUCAAGAUCAAGCUUUAAGCUCUUGAAUUUAUAUUUGAAAAGGCGAAUCAGAGGAUUCAUAGAGAUUGUAAUACUCACAUAUUAAAAUUAAUAAAUUGAUUGUUGCAAUAUAUUUUUCUUAUCUCGAAGUAUUAUUUUUCGAUUUCAAAAAUUUUACUGUCCAACAACCACAUACUGGAACAUCAUCUUUCCCUGUCAUCCACAUUUUUAAGGACAAACAAACUAAAGUUCACUAGCAUUUACUGUCAAGCAACAUCCAAGGAAGUAUAGUCAAAUGUUAAUGAUCAAUAUUUUGAUCAUUAGCGCCUCCAUUUUGAUCAUUAGGAUCCUGUUCAUCACCCCGCCCAUCUAGAUCAUCAUUCUGUUCAUUAGCGCCUUCAUCUUGAUGACCAUUUUGCUCAUUAGUGCCUACAUCUUGUUCAUUAGGAACCUGUUUAUUAACGUCCUCAUCUUGAUCAUUAGCACCUCCAACUUUAUCAUUAGCGCCUCCAUCUUCAUCGUUAUUCUGUUCAGUAGCAUCUUCAUGAUCUUAAUCAACAUUUUGCUUAUUUGUGCCUACAUACUGUUCAUUAAUGCCGCCAUCUUGAUCAUUACCGCCUCCAUCUUGCUCAGUGUUUGCGCCUAAAUAUUGUUCAUUAGGAACCUGCUCAAUAAUGCCCCCAUAUUGAUCAACAUUAGUGCUUCCAUCUUGAUCAGCAUUAGCACCUCCAACUUGAUUAUCAGCGCCUCCAUCUUGGUCAGCAUUAGCGCCUCCAUCUUGAUCAGCAUUAGCGCCUACAGCUAAAUCAUGCUCCUGCCCAUUUACACCUCCAUUCUGAUCAUUAGGAGCCUGUACAUUAGUGACUUCAAAGAGAGCAUCGUGCAACGUUACACCAUUCUGGUACAUAAGCUCGUCCCUGCCACAAAACACUCAUUUGAAUUAACACCUUACAAGUCAUACCUACAGUCUCCAUUUGCAAAUUUAUAAUUAGAAACUUACAAUUUCAUAAAGAAUCUUCCUGCUAUAAAAUACUCAGAUGCUGGGGAGGCUACCCUCCGCAGACCCCAAGUGUGGAAAUUCACUGGAUGUGUUGGUGGUGGUGGGGCGGCUGCCAUCUACUUCUUCAUGUUUCCGUUUGUUUAAUACAAAAACAUGAAACCAGCAUAUAAUACACAUGUCUCAGACCUCAGAAAAAAGCUUAAAUCACAAGAUGCUGAAAUGCUCAAUUUUCGAAAUCAUGAGACUUACAUUCUAUUUAACUAGCCUUCGAACACUAUGUCGUGCAGUGCACCUUCAAAGUGUACAAGACAAGAAAAUGAACAUAAUAAGUUGCUGUGUGCUUAGGCAAGAAAUAUAUCAGAAACAGCGGUGUCGAAAUUAAGGGAUUGAAUCCUCUUUAUGAAAUGAGUAAGAAUUUUCAUCAAAACUAUUAAUUUCCAAACGGAUGAGUAAGUACAAAAUUCAUUCCUAAAUUGGAAUGAAAAUCCUAGACAGCAAUGAAUGGUAUCCAUUGUAUCAACCUGUUGCACAACAAAUUUUCUUAAAAAAGACUAACUGCUGAAAGAAUCAAUGGGGAAAAAAAAGACUAACUGGUGGAAAAUGAGAAUUCAAAAAAGUAGAAAAAUGCAGAAAGAGUGAAUUAAAACUGACAAGAGAAUGUUAAUAUAGAAAAGCAACCUCUGUCUUGACCGUUAAUUCAAACAGGAGGGAAAUUCAACUGUAUUUUUAUUUUUUAUUUUUUCCCUUGGACCAGAUUUUACAAUUUACCCUCCACAACUCUGAAACUAGUCAUAUUGAAAUUUUACUUUAAAAAGAUUUUACAUGUUUGGAUGUAUGUAAACCAAGUCCCACGUUGAUAAUUGGAAAAAAAAAAAAAAUGAUAAGUUAGUUAUAAAUAGUUAUUAAGUGUGAUAGUUUUGGGGGGAAAUUGUUAGGUGGAUCAAAAUUGACAAUAUCACAUCAUUUUAAAAGUAUUUUUAGGCAAUACAAAAUCUAAAGUAGAUAAUCUACUUAGACUUCUCAUUAGGGUCAUUUGCAUUUUUGCUACUAUUUUGAGUUUUUUUUUAAUUUUUGUCUUUUAAGAUACUUUUUUGCAACGUAAAAAUUCAUAUUUUUACAUCAUAAAAUCUCAUAAAUUAUGUUUCAUGUUCUUAAAGAAGUUAUGCCUAGCUAGACAAUAGUUCAGUUGCUCAGGGCAAAAGUUCAAGAUCAAUCAUUUUAAAAGACAAACUUUGCAAUUAAAUAUUUUAGUGAAAACUUUUGUAGGCACACAAAUAUCAUGACUUAUUUAAAAUUAAAAUUUUAAAAAAAUUUAUAGCUACACAAAUAUUAUUACGCAAUUGAUAUUGCCAGUGUCAAUAAUACUUGCUUUUUCUUCUUAAAUAAUCAGCAUCAAAAUCCUUGAAAUACGAAAAUAUAUCCGGAGAGUUAGAGUAACUAUUUCUACAAGUAUUGGAAUAUUUAGUUCACUUACACCUAUUAUAUACAAAUAAGAAAACUGCGGAGACCGUUAACACCAAGGUUUUGUGGUGUAGUUGGUUAUCACGUCAGUCUAACACACUGAAGGUCUCCGGUUCAAGUCCGGGCGAAGCCAUUUUGUUAUCUCAUUCCUUUUUUUUUGGGUGCCAAAAUGUACUGGUGCUGUAAAUAUGCUCCAUAUAUCAGACUUGGAGAUGUCAUGUUAAAUGGAUACCAAAUAAUUACAUAAACACCCAAUAUGGUACCACUACCUAAUAGGCAGAGAGGCUGUUUCAUAUCAGUAAAUUAUAGUACUACUUACACACACAACUCAAAAAGCUGUGAUUUCAAAUUAAACAGAUACCAAGCAUUGCCAUAUUACAAAAGAUAAAAGAAGUGGAUUAUGUUAUCUGCUCUUAAAUCAACUUCAGGAUGAGAGUGAAAACUAAAAAACAUUAGGUCCACAAUUUUCAAACGUAUAUGCUAAUCUAACUUCAUCAUAUAGCAAAACAUCAUCUUUCCCAAUACUAAAAUUCUGUAGCAUUUACUGCCAAGUGUCAAGCAAAAUAUAAGGAAAUAGAUCAGUAAUCUCAUAGUAGCUUUUAACUGGUUAGUAGCUUUUAACUGGUUGAUUAUUCUCAAAUGCUUGACAGAUGGCUAGUAUCAAGAAAUUAAAAACAAACUAAGCAGCAUACAGAGAAUAGUAGUACUGCAAUCCCAAAACGGAAUAUCACACAAUUAUGGAAUUAGCUUUUUGUGUAAUUAUGAAGUCUAGUUACUCUACUCAGAAAGUGUAUAUCUUUCUGCAUUUUGAUCAGCAUGAAUAGGCUAUCAAUGUCUGCAUUUUUCUCAUUAGCACCUACAUCUUGCUCAUUAGGACCCCGUUCAUUUGCAUUUCCAGCUUGAUCAGCAUUUUGCAGAGUAGAGCCCACAUCUUGUUCAUUAGGAAUCUGUUCAUUAGUGUUUCCAUCUUGAUCAGCAUUUUUCUCGGUAGCUCCCAUAUCAUGUUCAUUAGGAACCUGUUCAUUAGUGUCUCCAUCCGGAUCAGUAUUUUGCUCAUUAGCACCUGCAUUUUGAUCAUUAGGACCCUAUUCAUCAGCGUCUCCAUCUUGAACAGCAUUUUGCUCAGUAGCACCUAAAUUUUGUUCAUUGGGAACCUGUCUGUUAAUGUCUCCAUCUUGAUCAGCAUUUUGGUCAUUAGUGCCUCCAUCUUGAUCAGCAUUUUGAUCAUUAGCGCCUCCAUCUUGAUCAUUAGCGCCAUCAUCUUGAUAAGCAUUUUGAUCAUUAGCGCCACCAUCUUGAUCAGCAUUUUGAUCAUUAGCGCCUCCAUCUUGAUCAGCAUUUUGAUCAUUAGCGUCUACUAAACCUUGUUCCCCAUUUAAAAGAAACAACGGUACCCCGCCUAAAAGGAACAACGGUACACCAUUCCAGGAACUACUAGUCAUACUGCAUAUAUAUGUGUAGAGUCUCAAUUUGCAUAAUUUUAUUUAGAAACUUACCAUCUCAGACAGAAUCUUCCUUCUCUAAAUAACAUGAAGUGUUGGGGGACUGCAAUCUGCGGAAAUCAUUAAUUCAGUAUUUAAUAAAAGAAGCAGCAAAUCUGUCUUGUUCAUCAAAAUCAAAUGCUCUUUAAUAUUAGUAUCUUACAAUUUGACACCCGAGCAGCAUUCCACAUUUGGCACAGUUUAUUUCGGCUGUGGUAAGUCCAUGUAUCACAGGAUCAUCAGUCACGUCGUCAGAUACUCUUAAACAUUAAACCUGCAUAUAUAUAAAGGCUAGUGACGUUUGCAAUAAUACAUAUCCAAGUUGCUGAAAUCAUAUGAAAUAUCCAAUUUUCAGAAUCGCAUGAAAUCAUGAAACUUACACUCUAGCAAAGAUCACUUUUGGAAAACGGGAUGGCACCUGCAAAGUGUACAAGACAAGAAAAUUAGCAUAAUAAAAUGUUCUGUGCUUAGUCAAGAAAUAUAACAUAUAUGCUAAAUUAAUUGCAAAAUUCAUGAUACUAUCGUCUUUAUGAAAUCAGAAGUAAUUUCAUCAACAGAUACAACAUGAUUUUUCCUAAACGAAUUUAGAAGAAAUUAAUUCAAGAUUGUCCUGAGAAUUUGUUUGUAUACCAUUUGGUGUAUUCAUAAAUAAAUUGAUUUCUGCGGGAUGCAGAGAGAGUAAGAAUCCUUACUAUAGAGUCGAUAUCCCAGACGAGUGCAGGUUGAUUUUCGCACCGACGACAGUAGAUGCAAUGUCGAGGAGGGAUAUAAUUGCAUGGGUGAAAAAGUCGACUGCUCAUCCUCCUAUCAACUUUGUUGAAUCAAGAAGCAACUCCUAACAGAUAUGUUAUAGAACAAAUUCACUUCAACAAAGAACAGAAAAAUGGCUGGGAAUUACAAAGACUAACUUCAAAAUAUCAGAAAAUCGAAGACAGGCUCACUUCUCACCAGAAAAGAAUUAACGAGAAUCCAAGAACGUGAAAAAUGGCUGGGAAUUAGAAACGCAGAAAGACUGAAUUAACUUUGAAGGAUAAAAUGCAGAGAAGAGGAUGUUAAUAUAGAAAACUCAGUCCUUGAUUCUUGAAUCCAAGCUCUGUAUUUGCCUUUAAUUCAGAAAGGAGGGAAUUUUGAAAGAGAAUUUUUUUUUUCUUUUUUUCUUUACGAGAAAUAUAGUUGAUAUCUUAAUAAUGUUAUUAUUGUGUGAAUUUCUAUGGUAAAAAUGUACUUUUAUCGAGUAUUUAUACCAAACAUAAAUGACUGAUAUAAUAAUUAAUAACGAUUAAUUAAUGUAGAGAGAGACGAAGAUCGACUUACAUAUGAAAAUCUAGGAGAAGUUAGUGAAGAUUUGAGUAAAUCAUUUGGUUUCAUAUCGAAGCGUUCAACUAAAUAAAGAAUUCAUCUUGUAAGGAGAUUAAUCGAGCAAUACAGAGAAAGAAAGUUUGACUUACCUAUGGUGUUCAUCGAUCUAGAAAUAAAACAUAUGAUAAAGUCCUAAAGAGGAUUCUACGGAGAUGUUUGGAGGCUAAAUAUGUAGAUGUAGCUUAUAUUAGGGCGAUAAAAACAGGUAUGUCCGCCUUAAGAUUCAAGUGAAUACAAUUGCAGGAGACUUGAAGCACUCCCCCAUCUUGAUGAUUGUUGCACCACAAUUCAGCUCUUAAUCUGUUUUAAUUUGUCAUGGUGAUGGUCUGAUGGAUGAACCAAUGCGGCAUAUCCAGGGGAAUGCGUCAUGAUGUAUAUUAUUUGCAGAUGAUAUAGUGUUGAUGCGAUAGUCGACAAUUUAAUGAUAGACUGAAUAUUUGGGGACCAACUCUAAAGUCUAAAAGGUUCAAGUUUAGCAGGCUAGAGAUUUGACGGUUCUUUUUAAUGUUCAUACUCUUUCUAUUUCUUAAAGUUAAAUUGUUUGACGAAUACAAUCCUUCUUCUUGGUAAACAAAAUCACUAAACCAAGUUCUUGUGUACUUUUAUUUAUAAAAAUGAAAUAAGAUGUAGAAGUCAACUAAUAGUUUACAUAUUCGAACCGUGAAAGCAAUCACUAAUACUUGCAUCAGGAUAGACUGUCUACAUUAUGUCCCUUAGGUGUGGAACUUUUUUUGGUCAAGCAUUCCUAUAUUGUUAUUUAUAGCAUAUAAUUUACGAAAUUGUAACUAAUAUUAAUAAGAAGUUUCAAAUUUAAACAUUUUCGUUAAUUUAGUUAGGCUGUACAUAUGAAUGGUAAAUAACGAUAAAAUUACUCUCUUAUUAAAUUAAUAAAUUAAAUAGGGUAUUUGCUUCCUCUUCAAUCUAUCUUUCAUCCUCUAUACUCAUUUCUUUUGAAUAUUUUUGAUGAUUUCACAUUUUAUUUCAACUCAAUUUCUCUAAAUUCUCUAUAUCAUUUUGUCAUGUUUGAUUCAUACAUGGAAAAAUGAAUAUUUUUGUGUCUCAUUUUUUUUUUAAAUCGAGAAAUCCCCCUCGACAAGUGGUGCAAGGCAUGAAACUUUGGUAUAUAAUAGGCCCGUUCUAUUACAAACUGAUAAGCAUUUUGUAAAGUAUUAACUAUAUCUUUCUGCAUUUUGAUCGGCAUGAGUAGGCUAUCAUUGUCUGCAUUUUCAUCAAUAUUAUUUAUUCUAUCAGCCAGUUGAUCUACAUCUUCUUUCAGUUCAUUGGUGCGUCUCCAUCUUCAUCGUCAUUUCUAUUCAUUGGCGUCUCCAUUUUGAUCAUGAUCCCGUUCAUUAACACCUACAUCUUGAUCAGCAUUUUGCUCAAUAGCGCUUCCAUUUUGAUCAUGAUCCCGUUCAUUUUCACCUCCAUCGUGAUCAUCAGGAGCCUGUCCAUUAGCGCCUCCAAAGAGAAAAUUAAGCAACGUUACAUCAUUCCAGUAAAUAAGCUUGUCCCUGCAGCAAAAUACUUAUCUGAAUUAACACCUUACAAGUCAUGUGUAGAGUCUCAAUUUGCAAACUCUUAAUUAGAAACUUACAAUCUCAUAUAGAAUCGUCCUUCUCUAUAAUACCUAGACGGUUGGGAAACUACACAAAUAUUAUUACAAAAUAGGUAUCACAAGUGCCAAUAAUCAUUGCUUUUCUUUUCUUAAAUACAUCUUGAUUCAAAGCACAUUCAUAAAAAUUGGAAUUUAUGAAAUAUUUACUUCUCAAAAAGUAGUAAUAUCACCCUUUUCAUGAAUUGGAGCACGAGUGCAUGUUAUUAGAAUGUAGCUAUUUGACAUGAUUGUAAUACCAUGACAAGAUUAAUUUUUUUUCUUUUACAAAAAUAAUACUACUCUGUUUCAUAAUACUUGAUUCUUAUUGAUCCGACACGUCUUUUUAAAAAAAUUUAAUUUGAAGUAUAUUUUAUCAAAAUAACUUUAUUAAUGAUAUUUUAGAACUCUAAAUUUAACUAGUAUUAUUUUAUGUAGUUAUUUAGAACUCUUAAUGUACUAGGAAAGUUUUAACUGACUCAUAAUUUCUUUUUUCAUAAAAGUUUAAAGGUGGAACUCAUCAGCAAACAUCUAAAAUUGACACGAUUUUUCACUUAAAUACCUCAAGUAAGCAUUGCACAUUUUAAACUCCCGUAUAGUAAGGCUCUACUAGCUUGAUGCUGGUCGAGCGAACCCCUUGCCCCACCAUGUCCACUAAAUAAAAUAAUUAGAAUCAAAAUCCUUGAAAUACGACAAUAUAUAUUUGGAGAAUUCAAAUAACUAAUUCUACAAGUGUUGGAAUAUUUGUCUAGUCAACUCACGCUUACACCAAAUAAAUAGGAAAACUGGAGGAACUUCAAGCACCAGGGUUUCGUGGUGUAGUUGGUUAUCACGUCAGUCUAACACACUGAAGGUCUCCGGUUCGAGUCCGGGCGAAGCCAUUUUUCCGAUAUGUUAAAAGGUUACCAAAUAAUUACAUAUACCAAAUGUAUGUAGCUAGUAAACUAGCUCUUAAGCUUUUAGGCAGUAAGUAGUACCUCACUGCUUGUGCACCCUACAUAUUUAUUGGAUCGAUCUCUACCAGAACAAUAACGUAUCUGUAUCUGUAAAUUAUAAUACACUACUAAAUACACACAGCUUUUAUCUCUACCAGAACAAUAACGUAUCUGUAAAUUAUAAUACACUACUAAAUACACACAACUCAAAAAGCUGUGAUUUCAAAUUAAACGGAUACCAAGCAUAGCCAUAUUACAAAAUAACAAGAUGGUUUUAACUUUUUUCUCAAACAUUUGACAAAUCCCAAACAUAAAGAAGAAGUGGAUUAUGUUAUCUGUUGUUAAAUCAACUUCAGGAUUUGAGCGAAAACUGAAAACCAUUACAUCCAAAAAAUUUAAUAGUCUCUGUUAAUCCAACUUCACCAUAUAGCAAAACAUCAUCUUUCCCAAUACUAAAGUUCAGUAGCAUUUACUGCCAAGUGUCAAGCAAAAUAUAAGGAAAUAGAUCAGUAAUCUCAUAGUAGCUUUUAACUGGUUAGUAGCUUUUAACUGAUUGAUUAUUCUCAAAUGCUUGACAGAUGGCUAGUAUCAAGAAAUUAAAAACAAACUAAGCAGCAUACAGAGAAUAGUAGUACUGCAAUCUCAAAACAGAAUAUCACACAAUUAUGGAAUUAGCAUUUUGUGUAAUUAUGAAGUCUAGUUACUCUACUCAGAAAGUGUAUAUCUUUCUGCAUUUUGAUCAGCAUGAAUAGGCUAUCAAUGUCUGCAUUUUCAUCAUUAGUUGGUUCAUAUUAUCUAUUCCAUCAGCCAGUUGAUCAACAUCUUCAUUCAGUUCAUUGGGGUGCCUGCAUCUUGAUCAUCAUUCUGUUCAUUAGCUUCUUCAUGUUGAUUAUCAUUUUGCUCAGCAGCACCUACAUCUUGUUCAUCAUAAACCUGUUCAUUAGCAUCUCCAUAUUGAUCAACAUUUUUCUCAGUAGCAACCACAUCUUGUUCAUUAGGAACCUGUUCAUCAGUGCCUCCAUCUGGAUCAGCAGCACCUACAUCUUGCUCAUUAGGACCCCGUUCAUUCGCAUUUCCAUCUUGAUCAGCAUGUUGCUUGUUAGUGCCUCCAUCUUGAUCAGCAUUUUGAUCAUUAUCGUCUGCUAAACCUUGUUCCCCAUUUAAAAGAAAUAGUGGUACCCCGCAUAAAAGGAACAACGGUACACCAUUCCAGGAACUACUAGUCAUACUGCAUAUAUAUGUGUAGAGUCUCAAUUUGCAUAAUUUUAUUUAGAAACUUACCAUCUCAGACAGAAUCUUCCUUCUCUAAAUAACAUGAAGUGUUGGGGGACUGCAAUCUUCGGAAAUCAUUAAUUCAGAAUUUAAUAAAAAGAAGCAGCAAAUCUGUCUUGUUCAUCAAAAUCAAAUGCUCUUUAAUAUUAGUAUCUUACAAUUUGACACCCGAGCAGCAUUCCACAUUUGGCAGAGUUUAUUUCGGCUGUGGUAAGUCCAUGUAUCACAGGAUCAUCAGUCACGUCGUCAGAUACUCUUAAACAUUAAACCUGCAUAUAUAUAUAAAGGCUAGUAACGUUUGCAAUAAUACAUAUCCAAGUUGCUGAAAUAUUCAAUUUUCAGAAUUGCAUGAAGUCAUGAAACUUACACUCUAGCAAAGACCACUAUUGGAAAACGGGAUAGCACCUGCAAAGUGUACAAGACAAGAAAGUUAGCAUAAUAAAAUGUUCUGUGCUUAGUCAAGAAAUAUAACUAUGCUAAAUUAAUCGCAAUUCAUGAUACUAUCGUCUUUAUGAAAUCAGAAGUAAUUUCAUCAACAGAUAUAUUAUAGAACAAAAAACAGAAAAAUGGCUGGGAAUUAGAAAAGAAAUUAACGAGAAUCCAAGGAAAGUGAAAAAUGGCUGGGAAUUAGAAAUGCAGAGAGACUGAAUUUAAUGGGAUAUUUGAAGGAUAAAAUGCAGAGAAGAGAAUGUUAAUAUAGAAAACUCAGUUCUUGAUUCUUGAAUCCAAGCUCUGUAUUUACCGUUAAAUUCAGAAAGGAGGGAAUUUUGAAAGAUAAAAUUUCUUUUUUAUUUUUCCCCUUAAGAAGAAGUAUUACAACUUACCCUCCAAAAUUAUUUUCUUUUUAACUUUAUCGUGUUUUAAACGUACAUAUAUAGAAUACCAUUAUGUUUCCGUUUCUUUUUUCUUUACUUACGAGAAACACAGUUUAUAUCUUAAUAAUGUUAUUGUUAUGUGAAUUUCUAUGGUAAAACACAGUUUACUGAGCCACCUGAGACUGAAGCUUUAAUUUUAGGAUUUCUUUUAACAAGUCAGGAUCCGAUUCGUUACUCCAGAAAUAUAUUUUCUGCUUCCUCGUUUCCUUGGCCUAACGUUAACAUGAUUUGCUUAUAUCUAGACUGCAGUAGCGACUUUUGCGAAAAGGUAUACCGUGAUAGAAGAAAUGGCUUUCUCUAAGAUAUACAAUAAACAGACUAGCAUUCUCUGUCAAGCAACUAACAAAAACAAUUGCAUAGCAGUAUUCAGUGACUUUUAAACUAUAGAUUAUUGUCGAAUGCUUGAAUGCUUGACAGAUGACUUGCAUCAAGAAAUUAAAGACAAUCUAAGCAGCAUAUAGAGAACAGAAGUGCCUGAGCUCAAACAUGUAAAAGUUCAUAGAAAUUAAAGAAAAACUAAGCAGCAUAUAGAGAACAGAAGUGCCUGAGCUCAAACAUGUAAAAGUUCAUAGAAAUUAAAGAAAAACUAAGCAGCAUAUAGAGAACAGAAGUGCCCGAGCUCAAACAUGUAAAAGUUCAUUGUCAAUCGCUUUUCUCCAAAAUGAAGUAAUAAUAUGUACUAUAAUCCCCAAAACCAAAAAAAAAAUAUCACACUGUUCUGAGUUAAUAUUUGUAUGCAUGAACUCUAGUGACUCUACCAAAUGGAAGUGUAUUCUUCGUAAAUCAUCAUAAGCUGGUUUUGCAGCAUCAGUAGGCUAUCCAUGUCUGCAUUUUCAUCAAUGGUUGGUUCAAAUGUUUUGAUUUAGAUCAAAAUUGUCAAUUCCCUCAGCGAUAUCUACAUCUUGAUUAGGAACUUGUUCAUUAACGCCUCCAUCUUGUUCAUUAGCACCUCCAUCCUGUUCAUUAGCGCCUCCUUCUUGUUCAUUAGGAACCUGUUCAUUAGCUCCUCCAUCUUGAUCAGCAUUUUGCUCAUUAGCACCUAAAUCUUGUUCAUUAGGAACCUGUUCAUGAUCGCCUCCGUCUUGAUCAGCAUUUUGUUCAUUAGCGCCCAAAUCUUGAUCAUUAGAAGCCUCAACUUGUUCCUGGUAACGCUGAAGCAAUGUUACUUCAUCCCAGUAAAUAAGCUCGUUCCUGCCACAAAAUACGAAUCAUUUACAACGUUACGUCUUACAAACCAUAUCACUUAUGCGUAGUUUCCAUUUUGUAAAAUUUUCAGAAACUUACAAUUUCAUCACGAAUCUUCAUUCUUUAUAAAAACCUGGACGGUUGGGUGACAGCAAUCUGGAGAAAGGAUAAAGUCUGUAUAAGCAAAACAAACAAACCAGGAACUGCAAAAUUGUCUUAUUAAUGAGAAUGAAAUGCUCUUUAAUAUUAAUAUCUUACAAGUUUCCACCCAAGCUGGUUUCCACAUUUGACACAGUAAACAUCGGCUCGGGUUUGGCCAUCUAUUACUUCAUGAUACGGCUCUUCCUCAAACAUUAAACCACAGAAAUUCCAAUUUCCAAAAUUGGAUGAAAUCAUGUGACUUACACAUUAUGAAAGAUCCCAUGUAGCACUAAGACCCAUUGUAGCACUAAGGAUGGCAACUGCAAAAUGUACAAGACGAAAAUUAAACAGAGUUGCUGAAUUAAUCACGAAGAGCUGUCGAAAUUAUGGGAUUGAAUCUUACAUCAUAUCCUCUUCAUGAAAUCAGUAGCAUUUCAUCAAAACAUACAAAAUGUUUUUAUGUACGAUUCAGAAAAUUAUCAUUCAAAAUUAUACUAUAUGUGGAAUCACAAGAAAAACUCAGAACAUACAACAUGACAUACUACAAAUGUAGAUUCAGAGAGAGUGAGAAUCCUUACCAAAGUAAGGAUAUUCUCGAUGAAUGCAACUCGAAUUUCGUACCUACGACAAAAGAUGCAAUCAGUAGCCUGGAUUUCGUCGUACUCAAGUAUGAAGGGCCUUCCCAUUGUAUCAACUUUGUGAAUCAAGGCCCUGUUACGUUGCACAAUAAAUUUUCUUCAACAAAGUGCAAGAGAAAUAUCAAAUUUGAGAAUUCAAGAAAGUGCAAAAUGGAAAUGAGAAGAGAAUGUCAAUAUAGAAAAGUUGGUUCUUGAUUCUUGAAUCCAAGUUAUGUAUUUACCGUUAAUUCAUGUAGGAGGGAAAUUUGAAAUAUCUUCACAUUAACCCCUAUUUAACAAUUUCCUUUUUCUAUUUUAUUUUUUACAUAUUGUUCAAUUUACCCUCCACAAAUUAUAUAUUUUUAAAUUGUAGUGUGAAUUUCGAUCUCAAAAAAUCAGAAACUUUGCUCAAUGAAAGAUGAGUAAUGGGUGCAAUUAGAGGUGAUAAAAUUAGCCACGAAAAUAUCACACUCAAUUCAUUCGAAAUGACCCGCUUAGUAGUUAUUAGCUUGGUGCAUUAAAAAUUGAACGACAUGGCCUAAACUAACUCAUGAUAAAUCUUAUCAAAUAUUUUCAAAUAAUAUCUUUUUAAUUGAUGUAUUAUAUACCGUCAUGAUAAAAAAUAAAAAAAAUUAUUAUGUACUAAAAAUUAUAAAAUAAACAAAUAAAGUAAUUAAAACACAGUAUGAAUUGAGCGAAUCGGAUUUUGACCCGAAUUUUAAUCCAUUUCAUUUCCAAGUAACUUUUAAGCGGGUCAAUAACCUACUCAGUUAUUAACUCAAUCUAUUUUAAUCCACUCGAAUUCAGCUAAUCCAUUUGACAACUCUAGAUGCAAACUAGAGACUAACUAGCACAAUGGGGAACUGAGGGUGCAACACUGCAACUUGCCCUUUGUAUCAUAAUGAUAAGGGUGUCAAACGGGCCGGCUUGGCCCAGCCCGACCCGGCCCAUGUAACUAACUCAAGCCGGUUUGACCCGGCCCGAUCAGUCCACGGGCUGUAGGAUACAGGAUACUGGGCUGAGUUAUUUUUUGUUUUGGGCUCGAUUAACCUGGCUCGGACCAAACCCGGUCCGAGCUUGUCGGUUAACCGGCCCGAAACCUUUUUUUUAUAUUAAAAAAAAUGAUUUCUGCAUAUUGGGCCAAUUUGACCGUUGGGCCCAACGGCUAUAUUACCGUUUGGGCCCUAAAAAUGGCUAAUUGGCCUAAUUUAAAAAAAAAUCAAUUAAAAUAUUUUUUAAAACUCAAAAAAAAUCAUAUAAAUACCCUACACUUUCAAAUCAUUCUCCAAACAAUUUUCAUUCUCUCAACUCUCAAUUCUCAAAUAUUCUAUAUAUUUCCUAAAGUUCUUACUUUAAUUUUUAAAUUUUGCGAUUACAAAGUACGAGUAGAAGUUUCUAAAGUCGCAACCUUCAAAUACUUCCAAAAUUUGGUAUUGUCGUUCAUCUCUUACGUUUAAUUUUUAAUUAGUGUAUUAAUUGUUGAAUAUUUAAUUUUAUUAUAUUUGUGUAUUUUGAAUUUUUUUAGUUUAAUUUAUAUUAUGGAUAAAUUAAGAAACCUCGCCACUAAAGGUGUUAAAAUUUUUUGUCUCGGAAGUGGUAGUGGUAGUAAAAAAUGAAUUACUAGCGGUAGAGGUACUUCAAGUAGUAGAUAUACCUGUGUGCCUCUGCCUCCGGUACCGCUUAGUCAACCUUUUGAGGAAGAAAUAGGUGUAGGUGCUCACGAUAUGGAUCAUGUUCAAGCUGGGAAAAAUUAUGGUAUAGAAGAAGAAAAUGAAGUAGAUGCGGUUAAUUUAGAUGAAGAUGAUGAAAAUAUUGGUGAGACACCCACAGUAGGAAAUGCUAACGUUAGAUCUGAAUCGGUUAAUCUCCUUCCCCGUCCUCCCCGUUUCCCAAGAGCUCGUAAAAUAACUAGUAUUGCAUGACAAUUUUUUGAACGUAUAUCAGAUAUUGAGGUGCAAUACAAUAUUUGUCAACAAAUAUAUAAGCAUAAAAAAGGAGGCAAGCAAGGGGGUACGGGUACGUUAAUGAGACAUAUAAGUGAUAAUCACGAUAGAAAGUUAAAAAUUGCACAGGGUGGUGCGCAUGUUGGUGGGCCAACACAAACUAGAAUGGACCCAAAACCGGUCAGGUAAUGAAAAAAUAUAAUAAAUUGAGGGACUGGGAAGAAAUAGCUAAAAUGAUUGUUGUGGGUUGUUUGCCUUUUAGUUUUCCUUCUUCUGAUGUCUUUAUUCAUUAUAUUCAAGUAAUUUAUAAUCCUAUGUUUAAUGGUAUUCCUAGAAGUAUUUGUAGGGCCAAUAUUUUUAGACUUCAUUCACAAUAUUGUUUUUAUUUAUCAACAUUGUUAAAAAAUAUUCAAUGUAGAAUAUCCCUAACUUCUAAUGUUGGCCGUGCUGUAAAUAAAAAUGACUAUUUAACCAUUACUUGUCACUGUAUAGAUAGUAAUUUUGUUAUGCAAAACAUAUUCUUGCUUCUUUAUAUAAUGAAGAUCUUAAACAUACUGGAGAUUUUAUUGCUGAUUUGAUUGCUAAAGUUGCGGAAUUUUACGAUAUUGAAAAUAAAAUCUUAUGUAUUGCUUUUGAUAAUGCUUCUAACAACAAGACCGCUAUAACAAAGUUAAAAUUUAAGUUAUCUCCGUCGUUACCUGAAAUUUUUCAUGUUUUAAGUGUGCUUGUCAUAUAUAUAAUUUAAUUGUAAGAGAUGGUCUUGAGUUUUUUGAGCUUUAUAUUAAAAAAAUUCGGCUUGCCGUUGGUUUUAUUCAAGGAAAUAAUCGUAGAAAAAGAAUUAGAGACUUUAAACUUAAAUGUGAACAAAAUGGACUUGCACCGAUAUUGAUCUCCGAAGAAUGUGAUACUAGAUGGAAUGCUACGUAUGAUUUUUUAAAAACUUGUUAUAAAUAUAGAGUUUCUAUUACACUAUCUUUUAACCAACAUUGUGAUUCGUUUGCUGAUUCUGCCCACUACACGCUACAUGAUUCUGACUAGGCUGUAAUUAAUGAUCUUGUUAAGUUUUUAAAAAAAAAUUAUAUAGCUACGGUUGAAUUUUUCGGUGCUUAUUAUCCUAUUGUUUGUAAUAUUUUGGCAUAUAUAGCCGAUAUUUCUGGUUUUCUCGAAGAAUAUAAAAAUAAAGAAGGUUACAAAUAAGUUGUUGGUGUCAUGUUUGCUAAAUUUAAAAAAUAUUUUUUUCGAUUUCCCCUAUUUACUUGGUUGGUGUUAUACUAAUUCCGUGCAUGAAAUAUAAUACUAUGUGCCGCUUUAGUAUUCUUAUUUAUGCUAACUUAGAGAUAAAUACUAACAAUGAUUCUCGUGAUGAAGAACAAGAACAACCUGAUUUGUGGAUGGCUAUGGGGGAUGCGAAUGCUUACAUAGAUAAAUUAUAUAACCACUAUGCUGAUUUGGUUGAUUUAGCUGUACCGACAAAUAUCACUCCAACUGUCGUUCCUCAUCCUCCCGAGGAGCCAUCAUCUUCUAAAAGGCCGGCACAUAAUGGUAUUCCUGAUUUCUUUUAUGAUUUACCUUGUUGGAACAGUGUUGACGAGGGAGCUUACACAACAACUUGUCGGGAAGAGCUGAAGUAUUAUCUUCGAACACCGAUAGAGGAUCACAGACAACGGAUCAACGCGUUGGAUUGUGGAGGAAUAAUGAAACACAAUAUCCCGUGCUUUCAAGAUUAGCCAGAGAUAUCUUGAAUGUUUCAAUGUCAAUCGUUGCAUCGGAGAGCGCUUUUAGUCAGGGAUGACAGCAGCUUGGAGACAACCAACAUUCAUUGGGAAGUAAUGCAAUGAAUAUUCUAGUUUGCCUUAGAGAUUGGAUUAGAACGGAACGAAGAAAUCAAGGAAUGGAAGCGGAGCCGAACGACGAGCAGAGACUUGAAGAAAUUAUGACUUUACGGGAGAACUCAGCAGAAUCAAGUCCAAUGCAUGGUUUUUUCCCCAUUGACUUUGACUAUCCUAUGCAAGUUCCCGUUAAUAUUAACAUGAAUGAGUUGGAAAAAAUGAUGCAAAAUUUGUAGAUUUUCCAUCCAUGUAAAUUAUAAAUUUUGAAUCAUUUUGCAAUCAAUAAAAUUCAACAUUCAUUCACUCUUUAGUCCUUACUUUGUAAUUUUUUCCAUUUAAUGAUGUAAAUUGAAUUUCUAGUUUAAAUUAAAUACUUAAUUUUAAUAUAUUACUAAUUUACUAUCAAAUAUUAUUAAUUUAUUAUAUUAAGUAGCAUAUGUUUUAUUUAAAGAAGUACAUACAUUGAAUGAUACGUAUACAUGUGUAUAUGUUUUAUAAAUUAGUAUAUAUUUAACGUAUACAUGUGUAUAUGUUUUAUAAAUUAGUAUAUAACUAUAUAUUUAGUGCGUGUAUAUGUUGAAGUAUAUGUUUUAUUUAAAGAAGUACAUACGUUGAAUGGUACGUAUAUAUGUGUAUAUAUUUUCUAAAGAAGUAUAUAUUUAAUGUAUACAUGUGUAUAUGUUUUAAAAAUUAGUAUAUAUAUCAUUAUAUUGUAGUAUAUGUUUUAUUUAGAGUAGUAUAUAUAGUUAACUAACGUAUAGUCGUAUACACGAUUACAUGUGUAAUUACGUAUAUGUAUUAUGUGUAUAUAUUUUUUAAAGUCUAAUGUAGUAUAUACUAUAUAUAUAGUGUAUAUAUAUUGUUUAACAUAUGUAAAAUGUAUAUAGGUGGGUAUAUAUAGUGUAUAUUGGAGAAAAAACUUUUUUUUUGUUGUUUGACCGGUUUUGACCGGGUUUAGAUGGGUUGGACCGGGUUGGGUUAAGUGGGCCAGUUCAGGCUGUUGGCCCCGGAACCGGCCCGGCCCAUUUAACUAGGCCUGGAUCCGGCCCGGCCCACUAACCGGCUGCCGAUUUCGAGUUGACCCGGCCCGACCCACUUAGCACCCUUACAUAAUGACAAUGAGACUCUGUCACAUUUGUUACUAAACUUGCUCCAUCUCAUUGCGUGGUAUAUCAUAAUAGGCCAAUUUUUUCUGUUAGUACUUUACAAAUCAUAUAGCAUAUGCGUAUGGAGGGGCUGCAGCCAAAAGUACAGGAUGUCAUACAGGUUCAUAUAGUACUUUCUUCAUUCUUGUCAAUUAGUAGAGGUUCAUUUCCUUAGGAUUGGCAAGGUAACGCCUAGCCCUCUCUAAGAAUUAUACAGAACUCCAAAAGCAGUAAACUUGAGUGCUUGUGCACCCUUCAUCUUUAUUCUGGAUGUCAUACAGAACUCCAAAAGCUGUAAAUAUGCUUCAUGUAGCAGAUUUUUAGAUGUCAAACUAAAUAAUACACGGAUAGCCUUUUUCUAAGGCCACCCUCCAGUACUAGCGUUAGCCACAAGGCAGCAUAGAGAGAGCCUUUCAGCAUCUCGGAAAUUGUUUGCGCAUCGCCAUAUUACAAGAUAACAAUAUAGUGGAUUGUGCCAUCUGCUCAUAAAUCAACUCCAGGGUGAUAAUACAAGCCAUCAGAUAAACAAUUUUCAAAUAUAUGUGUUGAGAUUGAACUUUACCACAUACUGUAAGAAAAAACAAACUAAAGUUCUCUAGCAUUUACUGUCAAGCAACAUCCAAGGAAGUAUAGUUGACUUGCUUAAGGAAACUAAAAGAUAAACUAAGCAGUAAACAGAGAAAGUAUGAACUCUAUUCAGAAACUGUGCAUCUUUCUGCAUUUUGAACAGCAUAAGUAGGCUAUCAUUGUCUACAUUUUUAUCAAUAUUAUCAAUUCCACCAGCCAGUUGAUCUACAUCUUCCUUCAUUUCGCUGGCACGCUUCCAUCUUGAUCAUGAUUCUGUUCAUUAGCAUCUCCAUCUUGAUCAGCAUUUUGCUCAUUAGCGCCUCCAUCUUGAUCAGCAUUUUGCUCAUUAGCGCCUCCAUCUUGUUCAUUAGGAUCCUGUUCAUUAACGCCUCCAACUUGAUCAUUAGGGCCUCCAUCUUGUUCAUUAAUGCCUCCAACGUGAUCGUUAGGGCCUCCAUCUUGUUCAUUAGGAACCUGUUCAUUAAUGCCCCCAUCUUGAUCAUAAUUCUGUUCAUUAGCAUCUCCAUCUUGAUCAGCAUUUUGCUCGUUGGCGCCACCAUCUUGAUCAGCAUUUUGCUCAUUAGCACCUCCAUCUUGAUCAGCAUUUUGAUCAUUAGCGUCUAAACCUUGUUCCCCGUCUAAAUUAAACAACGGUACCCCAUCUAAAAGAUUCAACGGUGCACCAUUCCAGGAACUAAUCGUGUUCCUGCCACAAUAUACUUAUCUUUAUUAAAACUUACUAGUCAUACUGCAUAAGUGUACAGUUUCAGUUUGCAUAUUUUUAAUUAGAAACUUACAAUCCCAGACAGAAUCUUCCUUCUCUAAAUAACACGAAGUGUUGGGGUACAGCAAUCUGCGGAAAUCAUUAAUUCAGUAUUUAAUAAAAGAAGCAGCAAAUCUGUCUUGUUCAUCAAAAUCAAAUGCUCUUUAAUAUUAGUAUCUUACAAGUCGACACCCGAGCAGCAUUCCACAUUUGGCACAGUUAACUUUGGCUGUGGUAAGUCCAUAUAUCUCAGGAUCAUCAGUCACGUCGUCUGAUAUUCUAACAUUAAACCUGCAUAUAUACAAAGGUUUGUAACGUUUGGGAUAAUACAUACCCAAGUUGCUGAAAUCAUAUGAAAUCAGAAUCGCAUGAAAUCGUGUAACUUACACUCUAGUAAAGACCACUAUUGGAAAACGGAAUAGCACCUGCAAAGUGUACAAGACAAGAAAAUUAGUCAAGAAAUAUAACAUACAUGCUAAAUUAAUUCAAGAUUGUCCUGAAUUUGUUUGUAUACCAUUUGGUGUAUUCAUAAAUAAAUUGAUUUCUGCGCGAAGCAGAGAGAGUGAGAAUCCUUACGAUAAAAUCGAUAUCGUAGACGAGAGCAAUAUGAUUUCUGCACUGACGACAGUAGAUGCAAUAUCGAGGACGGAUAUAAUUGCAUUGAUUAAAAAGUCGACUGCUCAUCGUAUCAACUUUGUUGAAUCAAAAAAAUGGCUGGGAAUUAGAAAGACUAACUUCAAAAUAUCAGAAAAUCGAAGACAGACUAACUUCUCACCAGAAAAGCAUUAACGAGAAUUCAAGAAAGUGAAAAAUGGCUGGGAAUUAGAAAUGCAGAAAGACUGAAUUUAAUGGGAUUUUUGAAGGAUAAAAUGAAGAGAAGAUAAUGUUAAUAUAGAAAACUCAGUUCUUGAUUCUUGAAUCCAAGCUCUGUAUUUACCGUUAAUUAAAAAAGGAGGGAAUUUUGAAAGAUAAAAUUUCUUUUUUAUUUUUCCCCUUAAGAAGAAGUAUUACAAUUUACCCUCCGAAAUUAUUUUCUUUUUAAUUUUAUCCUGAUUUAAACAUAUAUGCACCGACUUAAAAAUUAAAAUUGUAUAGAGAAUAGAAUAUCAUUAUGUUUCCGUUUCUUUUUUCUUUACUUACGAGAAAUAAAGAUUAUAUCUUAAUAAUGUUAUUGUUGUGUGAAUUUUUAUAGUAAAAAAUGUAUUUGUAUCGAGUAUUUAAAUGACUGAUAUAAUAUUUACAACAACAAUAACAUAUUCAGUGUAUUCUCACGUAGUGGGGUCUGGGGAGGGUAAAAUGUACGCAGUCCAUACCAUUACUAGAGAAGUUGUUUCCGAUAGAUCCCCUCGGGACAAAAAGACAGUAAUUAAAGAAGUAAUAAAACAUGAAACAAGGUGAACUAACCAAAAUAAAACACCCACAAAAUAUUACUAUACACUAUCAAACCAAAAUCACGCACCUAACCCAAACCCUCCUAGCUAGAAACUUCAAUCUAUGCACAAAGCCCCAUGAUACUAGCAAGGCUACACCCACACGCAACCCUCUAACCUAAUUUGUAUCCUUCAUACCUUCCUAUCUAGGGUCAAGUUCUCGGUAAGUUGUAACUGCUCCAUGUCACGUCUAAUCACCUCUUCUAGUAUUUCUUCGGUCUACCUCUACCCCACCUAAAAUCAUCCAAUGUUAAUCCCUCACGCCUACGAAUUGGCGUCUCAAUGCCCCUCUUCAUAACAUGUUUGAAUCAUCUCAACCUCACUUCCCGCAUUUUGUCCUCCACCGAAGUCACUCCCACCUUUCCCGAAUAGUCUCAUUCUGAACUCUAUCUCCCCUAGUAAGUUCACGCAUCCAAUACAACAUCCUCAUAUCUGUCACCUUCAACUUUUGGAUGUGCGAGUUCUUGACUGGUCAAUACCCGCUCGAUACAACAUAGUCGGACGGAUUGCCACUCUAUAGAAUUUUUCUUGUAGCUAGGAGGGCAACUUCUUAUCACACAAAACUCUCGACACAAGCCUCCAUUUCAUCUACCUUGUCCUAAUAAAUAAUUUGGUUUCAUAUUGAAGCGUUCAACUAAAUAGGCAAUUCAUCUUGUAAGAAAUUUGAUCGAGCAGUGUAGAGAAAGGAAGAUUGACUUAUAUAUGGUGUUCAUCGACCUAGGAAAAAGCAUACGAUAAUAUCCUUAAUGUACAUGUAACUGUUGGGUUCAAUAUGUAUGAAAAAAGCGUAAAUGGAAAAUUGAGGGACACAACCUUUGAGGAAAAGACAUAUUGUUUUGGAAAAGGGGUGACUAUUCAGAUAGUUGUGUCUGUUCAAAAAAAGACACAAUGUUUCGAAUGAACAGACAUGACUCUUCCAAAGGAUACACCUUUUCAGAUGAACCAUUGCUACCUUUAGGAAGGGGCACUUGAUGGCUAUAUAAACCUGCAUUUAUCCACAGGUUUAGGCAUGAAAAAUUUUCUGAAUAUACAAACUCUUCUUGUCUUUAAAACAUUCUGUGUGAUCAAUCAAACUGUUGAGUGAGUUCGUUGAAUCCAACAAUUUGAGGUACCGCUAUUAUUCGGAUUGAAGGGGAUUUUAUCCUAGGAGGAAGAUUCCAUAACCUCGGGUACAGUGAGGAGAAUUAUUCCUUAAUGACACUCCGUGAAGUCGGGGGACUUGGCCUUACAAAUUCUAUUUCAUCUAUUUUCUGAAAAUAAACACACUUCUUAGAUAGAUUAUUCAUAAUCUAGUGCUGAAGGUGUUAAGUAACUUCAAAAGUGUUCUUGUCUUGGAGUUGAACUAAAGUUGAAGUUGGUGUUACAUGUAUACAGAUUUUUGUACCCAAACACCACAAAACUACAGUAACUUACAUUAAGGCGAUAAAGAUAUGUCUGGUGGAGUCAAGAUCCGAGUGAAUACGAUUGAAGGAGACUCAAAACACUUUCCUAUCUUGAUGGGGUUGCACCACGAUUCAGCUCAUAGUUUGUUUUAAUUUAUUAUGGUGAUGAAUGAACUAAUGUUGCACAUCGGGGAGGGGGGAGUAGCAUGAUGUAUGUUAUUUGCAAAUGAUAUAGUGUUGAUGAGAUUAGCGACAAGUUAACGAUGGACUGAAGAUUUGGAGACCAACUCUAAAAUCUGAAGGGUUCAAAUUUAGCAGACUAGAGAUUUGACAGUUCUUUUUCACGUUCAUACAUUUUCUAUUUUUUAAAGUUAAAUUGGUUGUCGAAUACCAUCCUUCUUCUUGGUAAACAAAAAUCAUUAAACUAAAUUUUUGUGUACUUUAAUUUAUAAUAAUGAAAUAAGAUUUAAAUGUCAAGUGGUAGUAUUACUACUAUUAAUAAGAGUGAAAAACAGGCAGCACUUCGUCAACAUGACUGCUUCUUCACCUGUUUCAGUUGCUUCGUGAUUUUACUAUAUUAUCCCUAAUUAAUUAUUUUAACUUAUUUAUAUAUAAGAAAUAUAAUAAUACUUAAUUAAAAAAAAAAAAAAUAGACAUUUAUGACAUGUUUGUUUCAGCUGCUUUAAUUGUAGUUUUAUUUUAUCACCUCAAAUUAAUUAUUAUUUCUUACGCCCUUUCUGUUAUGUCAUACAUCCCCUUGUUUACUAUUCUUUACAUUGAGUCAGGGGUCUCUCGGAAACAACCUCUCUACUUAUUCGGAGGUAGCAGUAUGGAUUACGUACAUCUUACCCUCCCCAGAUCCUACUUUGUGGGAAUACACUGGGUUUGUUGUUGUUGUUGUUGUUGUAUCCAAGUAUUAAAAAAAUAAUAAUAUUUAAUAAAUAAUAAAAUAAAUAUAAAUGAUAAAUCAAUUCUUGAUGUUUUAAAUUAAUAGGACAUCUUAUAUGAGACUUAUUUUAAAAAAUUCACAAGUAUGUUUGCUCCAUGAUUUUACUAUAUUACCCCUAAUUAAUUAUUGUAAGACAUUUACAUAUAAUAAAAUUAAUAAUAUUUAAUAAAAAAAUAAAAUAGACAUUUAUGACAUGUCUACUUCAGCAGCUUCAACCGUAAUUUUACUAUAUCACCCUUAAUUGAUUAUUAUAAGUCAUUUAUAUAUUUAAAAUUUAAUAAUAUUUAAUAAAAAUAAAAUUGACAUAAAAUGAUAAAUUAAUUCUUGAUGUUUUAAAUUAACAUGACAUCUUAUAUGAGACUCAUUUAAUUUUUUUCACAAAUAUUUUCUCAUAAUAGUUUUUCUAUAUCACCUCUAAUUAGGUAUUAUAAGUUAUUUAGGAUAUAUCCACUUCGGUGCUUCAAUCAUUAAAUUUGGUUGACUCUCGAAUUUAUUUUAGUGCUACUUAAAUUGGAAUAGAAGAAAAAGUAUUAUAAAUCAUAAUAACUAAAAACUUAAAUUAUUUUAAGAAUAUAACUGAAUAUCAAUGCCACAAAAAUUUGAAUAAGGAGAGUAACACAUAUUAUUUGAAAAUUACAUAAAAAAAUAUUAUAAUUUACAAUAGCUAACAAUUUAAAAUAUUUAAAAACACAUUAAGAAUCUUAUUGAUUAUCUAAAUUAUGUUUGUGUCACGUAAAUUCGAGAUAGUCUUGACAUUUUAUAAUUUGCAUGUUUUAUUGUUUUAAUUUAGUAAUUUGUUGAUCCAAAUGAUGUUUUCAAAUUUAACAUGUUUUAAAAAAUUAGUACUUUGUUUAUUUUAAUUUAUUUACUUUAUUUUGGUAAAAUAUUAUAUAUUUAAAAAUUAUGCAAAAAAAAAAUUAUAAGUCAUAACUAUUAACAUCUUAUAAUAUUUUAAAAACAUAUAGUAAAAAAUAUGAUUUACUUUUGAAAUUCUAAUAGUGUCACAUAAGUUGCGAUAAAGCAAGUAAUAUAAAUUAUUUGAAAUUUCAUUAAAACAUACUAAAAUCACAAAGAUUAACAACUUCAAAUAUUUAAAAAAAUAUAUUAGUAAAAAAAAUUGAUUGACUCACUAAAUUCUAAUAUUGGGACAAAGCAAGUAACAUAAAUUACUAAAUUACAUAAAAGAUACUAUAAAUCACAAUGAUUAGCAACUUAAAUUAUUUAAAAAUUUUAUAUUAAUAAAAAUUUGAUUGACACUACUCCAAAAACUAUUUAUAUUAUAUAAAUUGAGAUAACGUAAAUAAUAUAUAUUAGGAGUGGAUGGAAGAAAUGAAGGGUCACCUUUUUUAUUUGAAAUUCUUGUAAUGUGACAAAACAUUUUUUUCCUUUUACUAGAAUACCAACUCUAUCCCGUAUUACUAUAUUGUUUUAUUUCCUAUUACAUAUCUUUUAAAGAAACUAGGAGAUUAUUUUUACCAAUUUAACAUUUAACUCUUUUUAUACUAUAUUAUAUUUACCUUCUUUAUCCAUCAAUAUAAAAAUUAACAAUGAAAAACUUUCUUGAAACUCUGCAUAAUUUUAUCUUAAUUUUGUAAAUUAAUAAAUAAUUUGAAACAUGUCGUAUCACUUGGGAUUUGACUAUCACUGGGGGUUUUUCAGUAAAAUCAUGUAGCACAGCUCUAGAAAGUGCAUACGACGCAAAUUCUCAAAACAAUCUUAUACCCAGAACCUAAUCUCCUUUAUUUGGAUUUGAAAACUUUGGAUCCCUCCGAAAUUAAAAUAUUUUCCGUGGCUCCUGAAUCAUGGACGAAUAACUAACUCUAGCUUGCUAUACCAUAUUAAAGUUGUAGAUUCUCCUAUGUGUAGGCUUUGCAAUACAAUGGCUGAAGAAACAAACGCUCGCCCUUUCGUCCUUUGUCCAAAGGUUGCACCAAUAUGGACUGGGUUUAGUGUCAUGCAUCAGCUGAGCACUCUUGUAUCAACUGAUACUCACCCGUCCCGAUGGUUACAUGAUCUAAUCCACCACUAUUUAAACCCCUCCGAAGGGGUGUGGUUACGCACACCCUCUAAGAUCUACAUGGCUUUUUGCAUCUGGCAUAUCUAACUUGCACGAAAUAAAUUCAUAUUUGAAAGUAUUCUCUUUUUACCGUCUUUAAAGGACGUUUCACAAAUGGCCGAGGAAUUUCGGUUCCUAGUAGGCCUUACGGGGGAAAACUAAGAUUUCAAUGGAUCCGAAGGGGCACACCCCCCCCCCUCCCCCCCCCGCGCGCAAGCAAACUGCAUGCUUAAUACUGAUUGUGCUUCUGAGACCUCAUCUACAAAUCAACAUUAACUCGGCCUAGGUGGUGUUUUCUGGAACUAUAAGGCGGAAUGGGUAUUAGGCUUUCAUGGAACCUGCGCUGUUACAGAUGUCCUGGAAGGAGAAACUUACGCUCUGUUAUUAGGACUCCGGUUUGUUUAUCAGAACAACCUUUUUCCACUGGAAAUUGGGAUAGACUCUCAACAAUUAGUCCGACUACUUGAUUCUAAUACAUAUCCGAAUUUAACUUUGAUAUCUGACUCAACUUUAAUAUCUGAUUAUAGGUACCUCCUGGGCGCACUAGAUAAUCGUCAACUGCACCACUUUUUCAGGGAACAGAAUAGGCUAGCUGACAGAUUGACAAGAUUACCUAGUACAAUCUCUACUACUAUGUUGUUUUGGACUCCACCACAGUCACUCAGUGACAUUUUGUAUGCCGAUAUAAAUGGAGUAUUAUUAGUUAGACAGUUGAACACUUUAACUGUUCACCCAAGCGUGUAUUAUAUUAGUCCCAUACAGGAUUUCAAGGGCUCCUACUUCUACUACCACACUUGUGACUCGAUCACAACUAGACUUGUAAAUGUUUUUGUGUUAUAAAUAAAACUCUGCCUGUUUCACCAAAAAAAAAAUCGUACGAACUAAAAAAUUUCUACGUUGCCUAGACCUAUUAUCAUGGCAAAAUGACCUUCUGGACCCUUGUACUAUGUCGAUUUUGUAAGUUAGAUACUUCUACUUAUAUGUUUGUCAUCUGGACCCCUGAAUCCACUAAAAAACAACAUUUUAAAUCCUUUUUUGGUGAGUGUAAUGCACUCUUUCCACGUCAGCGGCCACGCCUGCCUCAUUUGCCACGUUAUUUAAAAAAAUAAAAAAAUAGAAAGUAUUAUAUUAAAUUUCAAGUCAUUUUUAAAAUGCUAAAUAACAAAUUAAAUAUUAAAAUUAACUUAAUUAAAUAAGAAAAAUUUAUAAUUGUAGAAAAAUUUGAAUAAUCAUGUUUUUAUUUUUGCUCACAAAUUAAACAUCAAAUUCAUUCCAAAUAAUUAAAAUUCUUUUCGAACUAAUUUAAAUUUUGAAUUAUAAAUUCAUAUAUACAAACAUAAUAAAAUUUUGAUUUUUAAAUUUGAAUAUCUUUAAAAAAUUCACAAAAAGUUUAAUUUUUUUCAAGAAAAAUUCACUAAUUUUUUAAAGUAUUCACUAUCACUCAUUUUCAAUUCAAAUUUAAAUUUUAAUAAUAAUAAAAAAGAUUUCAAAUUUAAAUUUUUAUUCAAAAAAAUGAAAAGAAUUGAAUUGAGGGAAAAUUAAAAUAAAAAAUAAAAAGUAAAGAUGGUGGUAGGAAGGGGUGUUGGAAGAGUGUUGGGGUAGGGUGUGGGGUUGAAAAGGACUAGGAUGGGGUGGAGAUAGGGCUAGGAGAAGUUUGGGGGCUGGAGGUGGGGUUGGAAGGGGCUGGACUAAGAUAAUGAGGUGUGUGGGUGGGGAUAGGGCUGGGGUGANNNNNNNNNNNNNNNNNNNNNNNNNNNNNNNNNNNNNGGGGCGGGGAGGAAAAAAAUAAUUUUAUUUUAUUUUAACUUUUAAAAAAUAAUUUUAAAUUAUCUUAAAAUUCUAUUUUUUUAAAAAAAAAUUUAAAAAUAUUUUAAAAUUAUUUUUAAAUUUUUCAAAAUAUUUUUAAAUUAAAAAGGAUGGAGGAAAAAAAAGACCCUUUUUAAUUUUUUUUAAUUUUAAUAUUAUUUUUUAAAAUUAUUUUAAUGUAAAAUUGGCCUCCACUCGCACCAUCAGGCGAGUGGCUACACUCUAUUUGUCAUAGUCACCAUUUCAAUGCCACAUAGGCAAGAUCAACGGUCAAAUAGUGCAAAAUAUUAUGUUUUAAUGGGUACAAGGGUCCAGAUGACAAACAUAUAAGUAGAAGUGUCUAAAUUACAAAAUCGACAUAGUAAAGGAGUCCAAAAAGUGAUUUUGCCUAUUAUAAUCCCUAGAUCUUGUUUCACAUGGAUCCUAUCGCCGUCCAAUCAUAUUCAGUUUCCGGGUCUCACCCGGAUCGAUAUUUCUAUCCGUCGAUUAACAAGUAAAUCCCCAAAUAUUUAACGGCUGCGAUUGACUUCUCCAAAUCCCCCAAUUCAUUUCGAACCGGGAAAUUUACGUCGGCCCAAAUCCCCCAACUAUAAAUUACCCACCACCAUCUGCUUCAUUUCUCAUUCAAAUUCAAAACCCUAGAAUCUUUAUCUUCUUCAAAUUCGUCUCUGUGAAAAUGUCUGGCCGCGGAAAGGGAGGCAAGGGAUUGGGAAAGGGAGGAGCCAAGAGGCACAGGAAGGUUCUUAGAGACAACAUCCAGGGAAUUACCAAGCCAGCUAUUCGUAGGCUUGCUCGCAGGGGUGGUGUGAAGCGUAUCUCUGGUUUGAUCUAUGAGGAGACCCGUGGAGUUCUUAAGAUCUUUUUGGAGAAUGUGAUUCGUGAUUCAGUUACCUACACUGAGCAUGCUAGGAGGAAGACUGUUACUGCUAUGGAUGUUGUUUAUGCCCUCAAGAGGCAGGGAAGGACUCUCUACGGAUUUGGUGGUUAGAUCAGUUGUUAGUUAGUAGAUGUAGAUCUGAUGGAAAUUUCUGCUGUUUCUGUGUUUUAGUUUCUAUUUAGUGUUGUUCUACUUCUUAUGCUCUCUAGAUAUUGUAAUUUCUCAUUACAUAUUCAAUGAACAGCUGCUCAAUUUCUAGAAAUUACAAUGGUUGUUCUCCAGCUGACUAUUAUUGUUGUUAAUUGAUUGAAAUUACAUAUCCUGUUUUUGCAACCAUGGGUUUGGGUAUUCAUACAUUUGCGAAGUGCAUACAUUUUCUUUGAUUUAUGUUCUUCAUUGGUUAUUGUUUGUUCAAUUUGAAUUUUGACAAGUGCCUGCUUGGAAAUAGAAGAGAAAUCUGUUCCAACAGUGCUGCCACAUAGUAGUAGACUACCUUGUAAAGAGCUCGGCAAAUUAUGAAAGUUUGGCUCCAAGCCUACUCAACAAAAUUCCCCAGAUUUUCAUCAAUGAAAGGUGACACGAAGUAAAAAUAAAAUGAAAAAUUGACAGCCACUUGCUUUGUUGUGUUAAUUUGGAUGGCUAGGGUGUGCAUUCAAUCUUCGUUUGUUUUUCUUUGUUUUAGUAGCUGAUUGAUUACCUUCAUACUGGUCUUAGACUGUUCAAAGACUAUCUGCACUAGUGUUUUCACCUGAAGGAUUUAGGCACGUUAAAGUGUUUUCACUGAAUUAAUAAUUUAGGCAACAAGUGUUUUUGUAUGAUUGGGAUAUUUCUUUGUCUAUGCAAAUAUGCCUUGGACAUAAUUUUUGAGGCUGGAAUAUUGGGAGCCAAGCCAAUUAGCACUCCCUUGGAGAAAAUCGUAAGUUGGCACUGGUCGGGGGAGCAGACCUUACAGAUCCAAAAGAUAUUAUCGGUUGGUUGAUUGCCUUAUAUAUCUUUGUUUCACUCUACCUGAGUUAUCAUAUGCUGUGUGUAUGUGUUGUCUUAGUUCUUAUAUCAACUAAAGAGGUGAAUGGUGUUGCGACUCUAUGGGUAGUGCACUAGUACAACUCUGGAAGAAAAUAUGGUGCAGAAACAAAAUACCAGUAGAUGAUGAUGACCAUUUGUGAAUUGCAAUGGUUAAAAGUCGUCAAUAUAUAUUGUGACGGUCAAUCAACACUUCACAUUACCCAGAAUUUGAUUUUCUAUGAACUAACCAAAUUUUAGUUAAAGACACUGAACGACCCAGAAUUCAUGGCAAAACAACUUCAGGAUUUGUAUUACCGCGUUUUAGGCAGCGAUAAACUUCAUUGCUCUCAAUCAGCAGUUGCUGGACAUGUGCUCCGUAUAGCAGAAGUGGAGAUGUCAUGUUAAAUGAACACCAAACAUUGCCAUAUUACAAAAUGACAAUAUAGUGAUGCAAAAAGCAACAUGAAUAAACAAAAAGCAUAAUUUAUAAAAAUGCCCUUUUAGUUGGCCUCAUCUCGCAUCUAUGACCUCCAACUCUGCAUGUGCUUAAGUGGACCCUUAAACUUGUAUAAAGUUGAAUAAGGAGACACGCGUCCUAUGUGGCAAUAAUACACGUAAGACGUGAUGUAGGACAUGAAUUAGCCACGUAGGAUAACACACAGGACUCAUGUGUCUAUUUGUUUAACUUUAUACAAGUUUAAGUGUCUACCUAUACGCACUCAAAGUUAGAAGGCCAUAAAUACAAGCUGAAGUCAAGUAAAAGGCCACAUUUAUGUAUUAUGCCUAAACAAAUAGUAAACUAGGAUGUCGCUCAUAAAUGAACUCUGGGAUAAGAGUAAAAGUAUGUGUUAAAAUACGACUUCGCCACAUACUGAAACGUCAUCUUUCCCCAUAAUAGUCAUCCACAUCUAUAAGAAAACAAACUAAAGUUGACUAGCAUUACUGUAUAUAGAUGUUGCAGUUAAGGAAAUACAUCUCUGACAGUCGACUUGCUUAAAGAAAUUGAAAGAUGAACUGUAGUACCAGAGCUCAAACAGGUACUGUAAUCCCAAAAUCAACCUGAAUAUGUACUGUAAUCCCAAAAUCAAAUAGAGAAAAGAAUCUUUCUUUUGUCAAGUAUGAACUCCAUUCAGAAUGGUCGGCUAUCAAUGUCUGUGUUUUAAUCAUUAGUUGGUUUGUAUUAUAUAUUCCAUCACCCAGUCGAUCCACAUCUUCAUUCAGUGCAUUGGUGCGCCUCCAUCAUGAUCAGCAUUUUGCUCAUUAGCGCCUCCAUAGUGAUCAGCAUUUUGCUCAUUAUUAGCGCCUCCAUAGUGAUCAGCAUUUUGCUCAUUAUUAACGCCUACAUCCUGAUCAGCAUUUUGCUCACUAUUAGCGCCUCCAUCUUGAUCAUCAUUGUGCUCAUUAGCGCCUCCAUCUUGAUCAGCAUUUUCCUCAACAACUUCUAAUUCUACGUCGUGUAAAGGAAACAACGGAUCAUUAUUCCAGUAAGUAAGCCUGUGCCUGCCACAAAAUGCUCAUCUCUAUUAACCCUUACCAGUCAUACUGCAUAUGUCUACAGUCUGAAUUUGCAUAUUCAUAAUUAGAAACUUACAGUAUCAUAAGGAAUCUUCCUUGUCUAAUGGACAUGGAUGGUUGAGGGACUGCUAUCUGGAGAAAUCAUUAAUUCAGUAUUUAAUAAAAAGGAGCAACAAAAUCUCUUGUUCAGGAAAAUCAAAUGCUCUUUGGUAUUAGUUUCUUACAUAUCGCCACCCGAGCAGCAGUCCACAUUGGACACAGAGGGCAUCGGCCAGGGUGUUUCCACCCACUACAUGAAGAGCAUUCGCGUCUUGUAAUACUUCAACAUUAAACCUGCAUAUAUACAAAUGUGUGCAAUAAUACAUAUAUGUCUCAGACCGCAGAAAGUUUAGGCAAAUGACAAAUCUCAAGUUGCAGAAAUCAUAUGUAAUAUUCAUUUUUCAAAAAUGCAUGAAAUCUGAGACUUACACUCCACGAAAGAUCCCUACUGGCAAUACGGCUUGCACCUGCUCGGUGGAAAAGACAAGAAAAUGAGCAUAAUAACUUGUUUUGUGCUUAGUCAAGAAAUAUAACAUAUAUGCUUAAUUAAUCACAAUUCAUGAUGCAAAUAAAGCCAUUGAAUCUUACAUAUUGUCUUUAUGAAAUCAGUAGCAAUUUCAUCAAAAGAUACAACAUACUUUUUCCUAAACGAAUAGUUAGAACAAUUUAGAAGAAAUUAAUUCAAGAUUGUCCUGAAUUUGUUUGUGAACCAUUUGGUGUGUUCACAGACAAAUUGAUACUAUAAACAAAUUGCAAGAAAUGAUGCUGAGAGAUAGAGCGAGAAUCCUUACGGGCUGAAGGUAAUUCCCGAUGUGCACAACUGGAUUUCUGCACCUACGACAGCGGAUCCAAUCUGGAGGUCUCAUUGUAUCGACUUUGCGAAUCAAGAUGCAACUCCUAAUAGAUAUGUCAUAAGAACAAAUUCACUUAAACAAAGAACAAGGUGGAAAUUAUAACAGAGUUACCAGCUGUGAUAAAUCGAGUUCUUCACCGGAAAAAAGACUAGCUAGCUUCUCACCAUAUAACAAAUGUAACCAAGAAAAUGAAAAGAGUGAAUUUAAUGUGGCCGAAAAGAGAAUGUUGAUAUAGAAAAGCCACUUCUUGAUUCAAGAAAGUAGAAAUAAUCAAUGAGAGAAAAGGACUAACUUUCGUAGCAGAAUAUGAAUGUAACUUGGAGAAGAGAGCUGGUGGAGAAUGAGAAUUCAAGAAAAGUAGAAAAAUGCAGAACGAGUGAAUUUAAUGGAAGUGAGAAGAGAGUGUCAAUACAGAAAAGCUCUGUUUUGACGGUUAAUUCAAAAAAGUAGGGAGAUACAAUAAUUUUUAAUUAUGUAUCCGAAAAUUACCAAAACUAUGUAUUUGAGAAUGUAUCCAACUGUUUUGUGUUUUUUUAAAAAGUGGUUUAGGUAAUUAAUAAAAAGUGUAACACUUUAUUUAUUUGGACGGUGGUUUGUCAUGGUUUUAUAAUGUACCGUAUUGUAUAGUAUGCUAUUUUAUUGUUCAAUACAGAAAAUAGAAUAUUUGAAUGGACUGUAUCGUUCACUUUUAUUUCAUAACAGUUUUAUUGUUUUGUUUGACGGUAUGGUACUGUAUCGUACCAGAAAAAAUUAACUAAAAUAUCCUUAAUUAUUACAAAUAUUAAAUUUAUCAAAAUUCUUAAUAAAAUAGUUUUCUUCUUGCUAAUCUGUCACAAAUUAUGUCAUGUAAAUAUAUUAAAUUGUUAAGUUCAUGUAAAUUCUAACAAAAUUAAUACAAGAGUAGAUCAAAAUAAAUGUAAUCUGAUUUAUUUUUAUAGUAACAAAUUUCAUUUUCUUUUGGUGUUUUGAAGCGUGACCACCAACGACAAGUACAAAGUUUGAAUGCAGCUUUUGUGUAUGCUACAGGUGUGUUCGGUAUGAAAUACAAAAAAAAAUUCUAGGAAAACUAAUUAUUUCUUACUUAUUUUCUUGUGUUCGUUAUCCAAAUAGAAAAAUAUUUGUAUAUAUUUAACACAAAACAAUGAGAACGAAUAGGAUAAGGGGAUGGGGUAAGAUUUUAAAAAAAAAAGUUGAGGUAGGGGUUUGGUAAGGGGUGAGGUCGGGGGUCAGGUAGGGAUGGGAUAAGAAAAAAAUUUAUAAUUUUCUAAAAAAGAAAUUUUAAAAAUAAUUUUUGCGGGGGAGGGGGAGGGGUGCCUUGUGGGGUGGGGUUUAGGAUAGGCGGUGGAGUAAAUUUAAUAUAGGGUAAAAAAUAAAAUGAGAUUAUAUAAUAUUAAAUAAGGACAUAAUUGAAAAAAAAAAAUAAACAAACCAUGGAAUACCACCAAAUCAGUGACUAUAUAAAGUGAGGGUUUUAACAAAUCAUGAAAUUAAGUUAUACCAUAUCAUACAUGUUAAGAAACAAUCAAAACAAACAUAGUUCUAUUUGCAUAAUUUGACAUAUGUUUUGAAAUAUGAAUUCUCUUAAACUGUUUGAAUGAUAUGGUGGUCCAAACUUUAUGUUUUGAAUGAAGAGACCGGAACUUGAUAUUUUAUGGCUUAGAGAUAUGACUUGCAAGUCUUGAUAUGACGAUACCAAAUCAGAUAACGCCAUAAUAGACUGAGAACAGAAUAUAAGUCAAAUCUCAUUCAGAUUUUCAGAUUUUGAAUUCAGAAAGAUGCAUGUUUAGAACAGGUUAAAAAUGGGCACCAAGAGAGUUAGGUGGUUACCCGAAGUAGGCAUGAGUCAUAUGAUUCGUGCCUGAAAUCGUGUUUUAUCAAUACGGAUUUAUUAUAUCCCCAACGAGGGAUUAUAAGUUGGCCUAGUGCCUUGUGGCGUAUUAGAUUCAGAUACUCCAACCCUUGCGGUAAAUUUGGUGUAAUGACCCUUCAGGUCAUUUUUUAUAUUUAUGCUUAUUUUCACCGUUUGAGCUUCUUCAUAGCUGCCCCAAGUCAUUUAUGACUUGCUGGGACUGAGGAUUCGGUUAUCGGGCAGUUCGUUUGGUUUUUAGAGUCAACUCCCUCUUUAGAAGUCUUCGUUGGUUUCAAAUGGCCACCAAUCAAAAACUUCAGCGAACGAUCUCGGAUGAAAAUUUCGACUGCACCAGCAUAUCCGAAAUAUAGAUUUAAGUCUAGGUAGACCUUUGGUUUGGGUCCCAAUGCACCCGAACUCAUUUCGACCUAUUAGUCGAAAAGUCAUAAAAUCAAAACUAUAUAUGUGGGCCCCACUUUUUGCCUAAACAACCUUGUAUGGAGGUUUUGAUGAUUCCAAUGGUUUUGAAUUGUGGUUUACACUCAAAUUUCACUAUUGGAUCAUAUAUUUUGGGUCCCGAAUGAGUUUCGAGGGUCAAAAAUAAAUUUUUGACUUUGCUGUCGCAGGAUACCGCGUCUAUUCGCCGAAGGGGUCUAUAAAUAGAUCCAAGGUCGUGAUUUUGGGGAUUUUUCUUUCACAUUUGAGAACUUAAAACCCUAAAUGGGUAUGAUAACUUGAAAUUUAGUCUUGUGGGUGUCUAGGGAGCUUGGUAAACAUUUUUUAUCAUGAUUAAGGUAAGAUUUCAUCACUUUAUUGGUGAAUUUCAUUGUUCUUAACCCAAAAUCCCAAUUUUAGCUUAGGGCUUGAUUUAGCCCCAAAUUUCGUUUGUUUGUACCCAUCAAUUUAGGGUUAUGCUUUCUUGGUGUUAGAUGAGCAUUGGGUUGACCUCAGAAAUGCGAUUUUCGUAUGUGAGAUCCACUUGGACUUUUUGGUGUCAUUUUUGGACCCGAAGCACAAUAGUGCAAUAUAGGUAUCGUUAGACUCGUAUUGAUGAGUAGAUUAUAUUUUUGAUAUUGUGAUGGCAUUUUGGAGAUUGUGAAGUGAAGACGAGUAUAUGGUGCUUGAAGUGUGAUUUUGCGAUUUAGCCUUGAGGUAGACUUCUGUCUACUCUUCUUCAUGGAUGAUUGUAACACCCCGUAUUUAAGUACAUAUAUUGGCGUAUUCAAGUACGUGUAUUGGUCUUAUUUAUAUGGAAUUAAUUUUAUUUUAUUUUAUUUAUACCAGAAUUUGCCUGUCGAUGGUUCCAUAUGAAGGUUAUUGAAUAAGCUUUCCAACGAUAUAAAGAUUUCCAAAAACGGAUAGGUUUCGGAUAUAAUCGAGCACGUUCGAAACUAUAAAACGGUGGCCGGGAUAUUUGGGAAUAGUAAAUGUGCAGGAAAAUUUCCUGCACACAAACUACUGAGGUCAGUCAUUUUUUUUGGGUCAACUUUGAACGAUCAUAACUCCCUUAAUAUAAUGAACUGGGAGAUUUUCCACCUAUGAAAAGAAAGAUCUUUGAGUCUUCUUUCCAAUGCAAUUGGUUUCAUCCAAAUCCGACAUCUGAGUAAUGAGUUAUACUCGUUUUACUUCAGCCUCUCAAAAUAGAUUUUUAGGGUCAACUUCAAACGAUCAUAACUCCUUGUACAGGACGAACUGGGUGGCCUACUUUAUAUUAAAUGAAAGCCCUUUGAAUUAUCUUUCCAACGAUACCAAUUUCACCCAAAUCCGAUAUCGGAGCAAAGAGUUAUGGUCGAUUUACUUUAGCCUAUCAAAACAGUCCACCAUGGACAGAUUCGGAUUUACUUAAAUUUUAAGGGCAAUAUGGUCAUUUUCCAUCACCUCAUGGACGAAAAUUGGUCAUUAUANNNNNNNNNNNNNNNNNNNNNNNNNNNNNNNNNNNNNNNNNNNNNNNNNNNNNNNNNNNNNNNNNNNNNNNNNNNNNNNNNNNNNNNNNNNNNNNNNNNNNNNNNNNNNNNNNNNNNNNNNNNNNNNNNNNNNNNNNNNNNNNNNNNNNNNNNNNNNNNNNNNNNNNNNNNNNNNNNNNNNNNNNNNNNNNNNNNNNNNNNNNNNNNNNNNNNNNNNNNNNNNNNNNNNNNNNNNNNNNNNNNNNNNNNNNNNNNNNNNNNNNNNNNNNNNNNNNNNNNNNNNNNNNNNNNNNNNNNNNNNNNNNNNNNNNNNNNNNNNNNNNNNNNNNNNNNNNNNNNNNNNNNNNNNNNNNNNNNNNNNNNNNNNNNNNNNNNNNNNNNNNNNNNNNNNNNNNNNNNNNNNNNNNNNNNNNNNNNNNNNNNNNNNNNNNNNNNNNNNNNNNNNNNNNNNNNNNNNNNNNNNNNNNNNNNNNNNNNNNNNNNNNNNNNNNNNNNNNNNNNNNNNNNNNNNNNNNNNNNNNNNNNNNNNNNNNNNNNNNNNNNNNNNNNNNNNNNNNNNNNNNNNNNNNNNNNNNNNNNNNNNNNNNNNNNNNNNNNNNNNNNNNNNNNNNNNNNNNNNNNNNNNNNNNNNNNNNNNNNNNNNNNNNNNNNNNNNNNNNNNNNNNNNNNNNNNNNNNNNNNNNNNNNNNNNNNNNNNNNNNNNNNNNNNNNNNNNNNNNNNNNNNNNNNNNNNNNNNNNNNNNNNNNNNNNNNNNNNNNNNNNNNNNNNNNNNNNNNNNNNNNNNNNNNNNNNNNNNNNNNNNNNNNNNNNNNNNNNNNNNNNNNNNNNNNNNNNNNNNNNNNNNNNNNNNNNNNNNNNNNNNNNNNNNNNNNNNNNNNNNNNNNNNNNNNNNNNNNNNNNNNNNNNNNNNNNNNNNNNNNNNNNNNNNNNNNNNNNNNNNNNNNNNNNNNNNNNNNNNNNNNNNNNNNNNNNNNNNNNNNNNNNNNNNNNNNNNNNNNNNNNNNNNNNNNNNNNNNNNNNNNNNNNNNNNNNNNNNNNNNNNNNNNNNNNNNNNNNNNNNNNNNNNNNNNNNNNNNNNNNNNNNNNNNNNNNNNNNNNNNNNNNNNNNNNNNNNNNNNNNNNNNNNNNNNNNNNNNNNNNNNNNNNNNNNNNNNNNNNNNNNNNNNNNNNNNNNNNNNNNNNNNNNNNNNNNNNNNNNNNNNNNNNNNNNNNNNNNNNNNNNNNNNNNNNNNNNNNNNNNNNNNNNNNNNNNNNNNNNNNNNNNNNNNNNNNNNNNNNNNNNNNNNNNNNNNNNNNNNNNNNGAAGCACAAUAGUGCAAUAUGGGUAUCGUUAGACUCGUAUUGAUGAGUAGAUUAUAUUUUUGAUAGUGCGGUGGCAUUUUGGGGAGUGGGAAGUGAAGACGAGCAUGUGGUGCUUGACGUGUGAUUUUGCGAUUUAGCCUUAAGGUAAGCUUCUGUCUACUCUUCUUCAUGGAUGAUGUAUGAUAUAUAUUGUGUGAAUGUGAAUGAUAAGAUUAAUAUUGAAUAGAAUGACUUAGUAUUGAAUAUACAUAUAAGUUUGGAGAUUAGAUAGGGUUUUUGACCCGUAGGUUGAAUUACUUAGUAACCUUGUAGAAUCCUAUUGCCUUCUCCCUAGUUUGGGUAAAUUUGUAGCAUGGAUAUGAUAUAAUGCUAUGCUCGGAAUAUGGUUUUAGCAUUUGAAGCAUGAUUUGUAUAUUUAGCCUUAUUGGGCUAGUGUGAUAGUUUUGAAACCGUAAGUUUGAUAGAGUUAACUUGAGUACCCUUGUUUCUAAUCGAAGUUACUAUCUUAGGCGAUAAUAUGGCUUGCUUGACAUCUAGAGGAUGAACUAGAUACCUUAGCCUAGUUUGGAGCAUAGUAUGCUUAAUAAUGGAUUAGAAGUGGGAUUAUCCGGCCCACUUAGGCUAAGAUUUGUGUUAGCCCUUGUGGGCUUAGUUGCAGAUAGUAGACCUAGUUGAGACUAAUGAGCCUUAUUUAUGAGAAUUACUUGGUGAAUUGAUAAAUUAUGAUGAUUUUUGUCGGAUUAUGAUUAGUGGCCCAUAGAGAUGCAUUUUUCUCUUUAUUAUGAUAUUUGACCCAUAGAGAUGCAUUUUCCUCUUUAUUAUGAUAUUUGACCCAUAGAGAUGCAUUUUCCUCUUAAUUAUGAUAUUUUGUCCAUGGAAAUCAUUUUCCUCUUAAUUAUGAUAUUUUGUCCAUGGAAAUGCAUUUUCCUCUUUAUUAUGAUAUUUGGACCAUAGAGAUGCAUUUUUCUCUUAAUUAUGAUAUUUUGCCCAUGGAGAUGUAUUUUCCUCUUUAUUAUGAUAUUUGGCCCAUAGAGAUGCAUUUUCCUCUUUAUUAUAAUAUUUGGUCCAUAGAGAUGCAUUUUUCUCUUAAUUAUGAUAAUUUGCCCAUAGAGAUGCAUUUUUCUCUUAAUUAUGAUAUUUUGCCUAUAGAGAUGCAUUUUCCUCUUAGUUACGAUAUUUGGCCCAUAGAGAUGAGUUUCCUCUUUGUUAUAAUUAUUGAGCUUAUAGAGACGAUUUUUCUCUUGAUCAUGAUGCAAAACCUAUAGAUAUGAGAUGUCUAAUAGGGUUGAUAUGCUUGUUGAUAUUAUGCCUUCUAGAUGUGAGAUGAUUAUAGAUAUGCUACGGUUUAUAAAUAUGAUUAUUGAUAUGAGUUCCGGAUAUGUAUAUAGGCCUAAGGCCAUGAUUAUGAUGUUGUGAUUAUUCCGGAUAAAUUAAUGGGCCAAGGACCGUGUUAUGGUACUGAUUAAAUAUCCAAAAAGUGUUUAUCAUUGUGAAUGAUGUGAUUGCGAUUUAUGGAUAUGUAUAUGUUUGUAUACACAUCUCUCCGAUAUGGGACGGAGGAAGAUGCGGUAUGAUACUUAUUAUUUCAUUGAUUGAAUACUAGUGAUAGCAUGCAUAAGUUUGGUACGUUCAUGAUUAUUUACCAUUAUAAAUGAUGUGAUUAUAGCCGAAAUAUGAUAUUAUGGUUUUUCUUCUUGUUAGACGGUUAAGCUAUGUGGUAACUAGUUGUCUAUUAGCUAACUAUUGCACUUAAUGGCUAUGAAACUAAUGUAUUAAUUAAUGAAUCUUGCUUAGUUGGAACAUGGUAGCUAACGAUGGUCAGUUAAUGAAUGAUGUCAUUUAAUAAAAGAUGGUUAGGUGACAAGUAGUAAUGUGUUGUCUAGUAAUGAUUAACAAAAAUAGGAUGAAUAGCUGAUAAUAAUAAAUGGUAGAUAAAUGACGGAUUUGGUCUAAUGAUGAACCUAGACUAGUUGUUAGAUGUUGACUAUUAAAUGAAUAGUGGUUAGUUGUUAUCUCGUGAAUAAGGAUUAUGUGAACGAUAAUGUUUAGGCUAAUAACUAGAGGUUAUGUGAUGACUAGCGAACUAGCGGUUUAAUAAUAAUAAAUGUUGAUUAGCUAAUAACAAGUAAUUGGGAUGUAUUGAUAAGAUAGAUAUCUUUACGGUUAUGAGUAUAUAGGCUUGCGUCUGUGCACCUAUUAUAUGCCUAUAUUUAUGUGUCGAGAGUUAUGAUGAUACAUUGAUACCCGAUAAGGCCGGAGGAUAUUAUGAUGAUAUUGAUACCCGGUUCGAGUCCGGAGGAUACUAUUGAGAUGAUAUUGAUACCCGGCAAGAUUGGAGGAUAUUAUGAUGAUAUUAAUACCCGGUUCAAGUUCGGAGGAUACUAUUGAGAUGAUAUUGAUACCCGACAAGGCCGAAAGAUAUUAUGAUAUGUAACACCCCGUACUUAAUUACGUGCAUUAGUCAUUGUUAUAUGUGUUGGGGUAUAUGUAUUGAUCCUAAGUUAGGUAUAUAUGAGUUUAAGUAUGAGUAUUGAUUAUUUUGAGAUGGUUUCAAGUGUAUAGUUUGAUUAUAGGUGUAUAGGAAUCGACUUUAUUUAUACCGGAAUUUUCACGUCGAUGGUUCCAUACGAAGGUUCUUGAAUAAGCUUUCCAACGAUAUAAAGAUUUCCAAAAACGGAUACGUUGCGGAUAUAAUCGAGCACGUUCGAAACUAUAAAACGGUGGCCGGGAUGUUGUGAACAGUAAAUGUGCAGGAAAAUUUCCUGCACACAAACUACUGAGGCCUGCCAGUUUUUUGGGUCAACUUUGAACGAUCAUAACUCCCUCAAUAUAAUGAACUGGUUGAGCUACCAUAUAUCAAAAGAAAGAUCUUUGAGUCUUCUUUCCAAUGAAAUUGGUUUCAUCCAAAUCCAACAUCUGAGUAAGGAGUUAUACUCGUUUUACUUCAGCCUCUCAAAACAGAUUUUUAGGGUCAACUUCAAACGAUCAUAACUCCUUGUACAGGACGAAAUGGGUGGCCUACUUUAUAUGAAAUGAAAGUCCUUUGAAUUAUAUUUCCAACAAUACCAAUUUAACCCAAAUCCGAUAUCGGAGCAAAGAGUUAUGGCCGAUUUACUUUAGCCUAUCAAAACAGUCCACCAUGGACAGAUUCGGAUUUACUUAAAUUUUUAAGGGCAAUAUGGUCAUUUUCCAUCACCUCUUGAACGAAAAUUGGUCAUUAUAUACAUAUACUUAGCCUCAUAUCCAUUAUUUAUCAUCCAUUAUUGAAAACUAAGAAACCCUAGCCAAAUUUCAACUCCAAUUAUCUUGUGAUUCAACCGUAGAAAAUCCAAAUUGAUUCCGUAGUUGUGUUCACCGUCUCAAGGGCUUCGAGAAGCACCCCUUAUUUGUGCCAACAGGACUUCGAAAUCAAAAGGGCCAUUUUUUUGGUAAGGAUGUAAAUUAUGUUGGUGUUAUUUAUAUGGAUAUGUAUAUAUAUAUAUAUAUGCAUGUGAGCAUAAGAAGUAUGUUAUUUGAUUGUUGUUGAAAGAUGAUUGGAAAUGAUGUUGGAUUAUUCUUGUGCAUGGUUGGAUUAUGUUAAAUUGUGAAGGAAUUUGGGGUGAUGAUGUGGUAUUGAUGAUGUGGUAUUGAAAUGAUGAUUAUAUAUAUAUACACACAUAAACCUAUUGUUCAAGUUGGUUUUUGGAAUGUUUUGCAAAUAUUGGUAGUAUGGAAUUAUGGAAGAGAAUUGUGGUGUUGGGUUGCUAAUACUAGAUGCCAAACAUUUCAUUGUAGAUAAGUGAUUUGUAAAGGCGGGAAGUUGUGUUGAAUUGGUAUCUGAAUCUACAACGAGGUAUGUAAAGCAUACUCUAACAAUGUUCUUUGGCAUGAAAACACCAAUGUUCCAUCAAGUAAGAUUCCGAGGUUGUCCAAAAACAUGUAUUGUUCUACGUUACCAACGAAGUUGUUUCCAUUCUAUAAAGUGUCAAAAUGUUUCAUUGAUAUACCAAAAGGCUCUUAUUUCAUUGUUGUGAUAUUGAUGAUUCUGAAACACAUUGUUGAUGUACCAAUGAGUCUUUAUUACAUCGUUAUUGUAUAGAAGGUCUAUUACUUGGUUCCUAUUGAUGUAUCAUUGUUUCAAAGUAUCAAAAAUGUGGUGGCGACCGAAAUAACAAUCUCAAAGAUUAAUUGAACUAAGUGAUGAAAGUUCUCUCUUAUCGGGUGGUAUCCCAGGGGCAUAAGCCUAGCAUGGGUCGAUCCCUAUUUCAUGUGUUUAUGGGUGGUAUCCCAGGGGCAUAAGCCUAGCAUGGGUCGAUCCCAGUUGAUAUGUACUGGAGGCAUCCUAAUGGUCACAGUACAGUACAGUAAUGAUUACAAAGACGAUAAGAACGAAGGUAAAGUGAUUGAAUAAAUACAAUGUACAGGUUGUCACAAGUUCUAGUAAGUGUGGUCCACUCCUAUUACGACUUAUUCACUUGUUUCUGAUUUCUAUUGAGCUCCUAUAUCAUAUGUGAUUAUUUACAGCUUUACAUACUCAGUACAUAUUUCGUACUGACGUCCCUCACGGGGGACCUGCAUUUCAUGCUGCAGGCACAGGUACCUCAGCUCAUACACCGCCCAAGUAGGAGCCAGGUCAUACAACUAUUGUUGGUGAGCUCCAGUUUGCUUCGGAGCUUUUCGAGUCGGUUCCUUAUGUUUUGUUAUUGUACAUGAGUCAUGUGUGGGCGGGGGUUUAUCCCGACCCUAGUUAUGUCAUGUAUAUCCUAGAGGCUUUGUAGACAUAAGGGAGGGUAAAGUCAUGGAAGUUUAUAUAGUAACGUUAUAUUUGUAUAUGUGGUGGCCUAUAUAUAUAUAUAUUUGCGCGUGUUGUGCUGAUACAGGUAAUUAGACCCUUCUAUAUGCAACGAAGUGCUGUCCAAUUUUUGGUGACAUGUAAGUGAAAGUACAGGUAUUUGAACGGGUUCUCCCGGGCCUUCUCGGCUUCGGGUGCCAGUCCGGCCCGAUGGGAUUUUGGGGCGUGACAGAUAUUGAUACCCGGUUCGAGUCCAGAAGAUACUAUUAAGAUGAUAUUGAUACCCAGCAAAGCUAUUGAUACCCGGUUCGAGUCCGGAGGAUAUCAUUGAGAUGAUAUUGAUAUCCGAUGAGGCCGGAGGUUGAUGACGAUGAUGAUGGUCCUGAUGAGGACAGUUAUGAUGCAUUGUGAUAUUGAUGGUAUAUUUUGCAUUCAUUCCUGCAUGCGCAUCGCCUAUCACCAGUAAGCACCUAUGUCUAUCAAUCGGUAUGGGACGGUUGCAUAGAUAUGGGUGAAGAAUAUGUCUUGUGUUAUUGUUUGUUAAUUGAACCUUCCAAGUCUGGGGUGAUGGGGGUACACAUAGGCUCGGCUAGGUAUUUGAUUGUCCGGAGUAGCCAGUUAUUUAUGAUGUUAUUGAUAUUGUUAUUAUCAUGGUUAUGAUCAUUAUUAUGGAUAACUUAUGACAGAUUGGUCAUGGAUCCGGUAUUGGGAUUGAGGUAUGUUUUCGACCUUUGUUAUCUUAUGAUUAGAUUAUUAUGCAUGAUUAUUCUAUGUCUAGCCAUAUGGAUUAGAAAUCCUGAGUAUGUUGGUAUUGAAUCCUGAUAGUAUUAUAAUGAGGUCUUAAAAUGAGAACAUGAUGAUGUAGGUUAUGUUGAAAUGACCUUCUAUUUUUAUAUAUAUAUAUAGAGAGAGAGCUAUAUGAAGUCAUGGUACUAUUGGAUAUCCCUUUCUUCGUUGUUCAUAUUGUAUAGUCGUUCCUUCGCCUUGUCUAUUACAAUAUAUCUUUAUUUCGCUCUUUAUCUGUAUAUUGACCUGGGAUACACGGUAUAGCUUUGGCAUAUAUUGAAUGUAGCUGGAAUAAAAUAGUACACCUUGAUACUUCGUUAGUCUUAUUAUGUUAGACUCUUGGACAUGAAUAUGAUAGUUGUCCCUUGUUAUUCUCAUUGACUUAUUACAUGAUUUAUGGACUCUUGGUUGUAUUUUUCAUUCUGUUUAUAUGUUGUAUAUAUCUACUUUAUCUUUGGAGCUCAGUUGGUAGUUGCCUACUGAGUACCAUUCGUUUGGUACUCAUACUACACCUCUGCAGCCUGCAGAUCAUAGUACGAGUUGUCGCCGUUGAUGUGUUCAUCGUGUGGAGUAGCCCUGAUUCAGAGUGAGCUCCUGACAUUUGGAGUAUUACUUAUCUCUCUCCUAUGUAUUAGACUAACCUCUAAGUUGUAUUUAGAGGUAAGUUGAAUUAGUGUAUUUCUCCUUGAUAUAUCACUUUUGUACUCUUAUUAUAUUUAGAAGCUCUUGUAUUGAUACCACCAGGUUUUGGGAUUCGUCUAUGUAUGAUCUUUAUCUCACAUAUUUCGCAUUUUUUUCUUUAUGUUAUUAAGUAGUCCGUUACUAGCCAUUCCGGACUAUGGGUUGGCUUGCCUACUGGUGGGUUAUGUUAGGCGCCAUCAUGACCUGAAAAGUUGGGUCGUGACAUUUGGGUUGGGGGCUUGUCCACCGAGUUAAGGGCGGGUCUCAUAUAGCCCGUGGGAUACUUUCAGAUAUGUAGGGUGUACCACCUAACUCAGAAGUAAAACAAAAAAAUGAAUUGCAUCUACAGAAUUGUUUUAAGAUCAUUUGAAAUUGCCCAUGCAUUUUAAAUUAUUUUAUGCAUAACAUUUUAUGAAAUGCUCUUGCUUAUGUUAUAUAUAAAAUUAUAUUAUUUUGGAUUGCUCUGUGUAUUAGUACAUCUGUAUUGACCCCCUAUAUUUCAGGGUGUGAGGCUUAGUCAAGGGGUCCCUCUAAGCCGUAGAUUUGUCAGACAGAGGUGUGCAGUUGGUAAGUCUCCCUUAUUUUGGAAGACCUAUUUUUUUUUACAUUGUUAUUUCAUUUUGGGUUGUAGGUCCGACUAGGGGACUUGUCCCAGUAUUCAGACAAUAGUGUUUUUGAGUUGUUGGAGAUUUCACAAACUAGUGUCAGGUGCUUUUGAAUGUAUCAUGAACUCAAUUUUGUGUUGUUCAGUUGAAGUAAAAGAAUGACCAUGAUUUCGUAUGAUAACUUUUCCACACUUCUGUAUAUUGUAUGAACAUUGUGUAUGGUUGCCAGAUAAAAAAGGGGCGCUCGGGCCUUCACGGGUUCGAGAUGCUCGUCGCGGCCAGGGCCUCGAUUCGGGUAGUGACAAUUAGCAUCUUAAUACAUAAUUAGCAUCUAAAUACAUAAUUGUAAUGUUGAGAUACAUAAUUUAAUUACUGAGAUACAUUUAUUUCUGAAACUAUUUGAUAGAGAUACAUAAUGCAUUAACUAGACCAAAGAGAGAUACAUAAUUAAUUAUGUAUCUAAAAAUUAUGUGUUUGUGGAUGUAUCCGACUGAUUUUAAAAAAAAUGAGAUUUAGGUCAUUAAUAAAAAGAGUAGAAUUUUACGUAAUUUAGUAAAGAUAAGUUGUGGUGUUAUGUAAGUUUUUUUUUUUAAUUAAAUGAAAAAAAUACUCAAAACUAUAAUCUAAGUUUCUAUUAUUACAUAACUACUCAACUAUCAAAAAUAAUUAUAAAAAUCUCUUUUUGACACUUUCUCUCUUCAAACUUCAUAUACAUAUUUCUGUUAUCCUUUUCUUACACUUAAUGCUCCAAAAAAAGUGUCUAACAUCAAGGAACCUCAAUCAAACGAUUUUCAAAUUUUGAAUUUACAAAUGUGUUCUUCGCAAAUCGCUCAACAUCAACUUUUCCACAAAAAGGAACCACAACCGCCACAGUCCCAGCCAUCAUGUCGCCAACUAGUCUCCCCUCAUUAACAACGACCAAUGAAGGCUUCACCGGUUACCGUUGCUCCACCAUCACUAGACCAUUACCUUAACCCCCCACCCUUUCUUAUGUCAAUACCGCGCCGCUAACACAUGCUCCAUCCAAGAUUGAUCCCAACAACUGCGUCGAGUGGCCAGAGAGAGGUCCGCGACGACCACCAGUCAAACCCUAAAAUUUUUUCUCAUCCCGCGAGUUCUGAAAAUACUUCGAUGAUUUGAGCAUUGACGAAAUUUCAACGCCGAUUCAAAGACAAGGAAAGUUUCAACAUCGAGUCAAAUACUUAUCAUGUAUCAGAAUAAGUUGUUAUUUCAAUAAUAUACAUAACAUAGUUAUGUAUAUGGAUGGUUAAAACGGUAAAGACAAUAUAAUCUGAUGCAUAACACAUGAAUGUAUACAUAUGACAUUUGACAUUGCUGAGAGUUUUUAUAUCACAUCAUAUACAUAACAUAUAUGUUUGACAUAGACAUUGCUGGGUUGUUUUACUUCAAAAAGUAUACAUAACAAAGGUAUGUCUAUGUAUGCUAUACAAAUUGUUGAGUUGUUUUAUUUUAAACCAUAUGCAUAAAAAAGUUAUGUAUAUAUUUGACCUAGACAUUGUUGGGCUUUUUCAUUCCAAAUUUAUAUACGUAACAGAGUUACGUAUAUGUAUGACAUACAGAUUGCUGAGUUAUUUUAUUUUAACCCAUAUACAUAACAUAGAAAUUUAAUGCAAAGUUCUUGGUGUUGAAUAUAGCCUCAACUAUUAGGAGAGCUCUUAUUUUCAUAUCACCAAUACAUAACUAUGUUAUGUGUAUGGAAUACAUAAGCAAUUGCACAUGUGUGUUGACGCAUCUCGCAACAUAUACAUAUCAUAGUUUUGUAUAGGACUCUGUUCGACCUGUUUAAUUGUAUUAUUUCAAUCUAUAUACAUGUCACACUUUUGUAUAUAGAAGAAUGUUAGCCAUUGCUCAACUGUAUUAUCAGUAUUGAAAAUUUUUGUUAGAAAUUAAAUUAAUAUUAAUUUGCAAUGUAUAUUAUUAUAGGAGAUGGAAUACAUCAAAUGCCUCAAUAAUAUUGGAAUGUUCAUCUUUUUGAGAAAUUCUUUUGAAAAAUAGAGCUUGAGAAAAAUCGCAAAUUAUUGAUCGAAAAUAUAAAAUCUGAUGUUAUUUGAUCGACUACAUUGAUUUUGUAUUUCAAAAAUUUUAAAAUUUAAAUUUAUUACUGAUUUUAAGGGAUUCAAUGUUCACUCAUUGAUAGAUAUGACGUUAAUUGCGUUCCACAUUAAAGGAAGACGUGGGUAAUGUGAUAGACAUUUAACUCUGAUAUUUGGUUGAAAUUAAUAGAAUGUUUUUGUAAAAAUAAAAGAAUAAGAUCAUUCGUAACAAUAAAUAAAGUUGAAAUUUGUGUCAUGGCCAAACAUUUUAACUUUUUACUAAAGUGAAAUAAUUUUUUAAAAAAUAAAAAAUUGUUUUGUCCAAACGGGUCCUAAAAGGUGGGAGGGAGUAACAAUUAGUAGUAGUCGGUGAUCGGCUCCUUCAAUCAACGGCUCAUAUUCAGUUUCCGCCUCUCACAUGGAUCGACAUUUCUAUCCGUCCGAUUAACAUGUAAAUCCCCGAAUAUUUAACGGCUGCGAUUUACUCCCCGCCACAUUUCGAACCGCGAAAAUUCAUGGCGCCCAAAUCCCCAAAUAUUAAAUACCCACCACGGUAUACUUCAUUUCUCAUUCAAAUUCAAAACCCUUGAAACUGUAUCUUCUUCAAAUUUCUCUUCGUGAAAAUGUCUGGCCGCGGAAAGGGAGGCAAGGGAUUGGGAAAGGGAGGAGCCAAGAGGCACAGGAAGGUUCUAAGAGACAACAUCCAGGGAAUUACCAAGCCAGCCAUCCGUAGGCUUGCUCGUAGGGGUGGUGUGAAGCGUAUCUCCGGUCUGAUCUAUGAGGAGACUCGUGGUGUGCUCAAGAUCUUUUUGGAGAACGUGAUUCGUGAUUCGGUUACCUACACUGAGCAUGCCAGGAGGAAGACCGUUACUGCUAUGGAUGUUGUUUAUGCUCUUAAGAGGCAGGGAAGGACUCUGUACGGAUUUGGUGGUUAAAUUGCAGAAGUUGUGAAUUAGAUCAGUUGUUAGGUGGUUGAUGUAGAUCUGAUGGAAAUUUCUGUGUUUUGGUUUCUAAAACGUUGUUCUAGUUCUUAAGCUUUGGAUGGUGAAUUUCUCAUUGCAUUUUCAAUGAACAAUGUUCAGUUUCUAGAAAUUUCUAUUGUUAUUUUCCAUCUUACUAGUAUUGUUGAUAAUUGGUUGAAAUGACUUUUACUAUUUGUGCAAUUCAGAUUUAUACAUUCAUGAAAUGCACCAAUUUUCUUUCCAUUUCUCCGUUGUUGAGAAAGCUGAAAGGUGGAUAAGCAUUAACUUUGUGGGCACAGUAUCUAAGUUUCUAGCUUGAGCGAUUCAAUCUGGAGAGGGCCAUGUUUUAAUUUUGUUUUUUAAAAUAUCCACUUGCUUUUUGUCCGCUGUUUCUUGAUAAUUUGAAUGGUUAGAGUGUGUUUAAUUGUAGUUUGCUUUAGUAGCUGAUUAUCUUGAUAUUGAUUUGUUGUCUCAUAUCUAAAUUGUAGCUCAUUUCCUUCUUACCUUGAUGACUUUUGCUCUCUUCUGAACUAGUGUUUGUGAAUAUCCUCUUCAUGUGCUUAAUUGUCUAAAAUCACACGGGAUGGGUUUAGGCAACGAGUUGUGGUUCAUUUCAAAUUGAAUUUUGUUGUUUUGUUGAGCUAUUUUUCAAUUUUUUCCUGUUCCUUAAAUCAUCUUGAUUUGUCAUCUUUUGGAGAUUUGACUUGAUUGAGUUGAAUUUGCUUUGUGUUAUGGUGCUCUUUCCUUAGGCAUAUAUGUCUGCUCUACCCUGUACUUGAAUUUUGUGGAAUGAGUUAACUGCGUGCUGAGUGAUGAUAUAAGUAAGCAGCUAAGUGGUUCAUGGGUCUUACGGCAACAUACCUAGACUUCUUCAUAUGUCUAGACUAGAAUUUUAAGUCUGUUAGUAGUUUGCAUCACUGCUUUAUUUCGACUUGGAUAAUUGGGCAGCCUUCGAGUUUCUUUUGCAUGAUGGUUUGGACUCUCACAAGGUUGGUCUUUUUUCUAAAUUCUAAUGCGUCUUUCUGAAGUAGGAAAGAGAUCUGCAAAGCAGAUCCAUCUUCGUAAGAAUAUCUGCAGAGCUCAACAUCUAUUUGUUUCAAAAUUUUAGAACUUAUCACAUUAUAGUUAGGAGAAACUGCACUCAAUAGCCUCAAUAUACACUCUGAUAUAUCCACAAAACAUGAAGUAGCAUGACGGUCACAUUUCAGUCAUCAGGCUCCUAUUUCCUUUUGAUCUUAAAUUUUGAAGCUGUCUCAACAGUUAGGUCUUUGUAGUAUUGGUUUACAUAUUCAUCACAAUAUCAGUCCUUUGAAAUUUAUUCAUGGUUAAAUAACAUACCCUAUGUGAUCUUGUAAGUCGGAUUUAGGGAGAGUGGGUAUACGUUGUUGGGUUCAAUAUGUAUGAAAAAUGUGUGAAUGGAAAAUAGAGAGAAAAUGGUGGAAGGAAGGAGACACUAAUUUAGAACGUGUACUCCCAAAUUGGAAAUUUCACUAAUUCUCCCACAUUGGUGGGAGAAGGGAACUUUGGAGUGUUUAUAAUGAUGAACACUUACUCCACAUGGUAAGUGAGGCAAGAAGUAAGAGAUGACUUGCGCCGUUGUCGCUUGCGCGGCUCGGAUUUGGAUUUUUCAAAUGAUCGAUCGAUGAGAUCUAUUUUUUGGACAAAAUUUAUUUGAAUUCUGAAAAAUACCAAAGGGAAAAAUGAAUAACGCACUAAAUAUUUUCUGUGUUUAAUACUCCAUUUAUAUGCACUUCAGUAGUGUUUCGAAACAUGCAUGCAGAAGCUAUUUCGAACUGAACAGAUGCUUCAGAAGGAUGCACUGUUUCGAACUGAUGCUUCUGAAGGAUGCAAUCCUUCAACGAAAUGAUACACUGUUUCAUGAAAUGAUACGCCUGUUCGGAACAAACAUAGUCCUUGGAGAAACAGACGUAAUUUUCCAGAAAAGGUGCAAUCUUUUAAGUGAACUAUUGCCACCUUUCAGAAGAGGCAUCUGAUGGUUAUAAAAACCUGCUUUCAUCCACAGGUUUGGAUAUGAAUGAAAUUUUUUUCUGAAAUAAAAACUCUUCUUGUCUUCAAAACAUUCCUUGUGAUCAAUCAAAUCGUUGAGUGAGUUCGUUGAAUUCAACAAUUUGAGGUAUCGCUGUUGUUCGGAUUGAAGACCAUUUUAUCCUGGGAGGAAGAUUUAUAACCUCGAGUACAGUGAGGGGAAUUAUUCCUUAAGGACAGUCCGUGAAGUCGGGGAACUUGGCCUUAAAAUUCUAUUUCAUCUCUUUUCUGAAAAAAAAAAAAAUUAACACACUUCUUAGAUAGAUUAUUCAUAAUCUAGUGUUGAAGGUGUUAAAGAACUUCAAAAGUGUUCUUGCCUUAGACUUGAACUAGUAUUGAAGUUGGUGUUGCAUUUUAUAUCGAAGUUGGUGUUGCAUUUUAUAUUGAAGUUGGUGUUGCAUUUUAUACAGAUUCUUGAAUCCAAAACAUUACAUAAAAUAACGUACGUAGACCUUACCCUGCCUCAUAUGUGAGAGAGACUGUUUCGUCUAGACACUUGGCUUAAAGAACAAUUUUUUGCAAAGCAGGUUGACAAAUAUAAGAAUAAAAGCUAUAAUCAUUAUAUAGUGUGUAAAAUAGAAGUACUGACCAAAAUAAAAGUAAAGAUAACCCAAGUAAAAAAUAAGUAGUAGGAGUUAGUUUCUCAAAUUGUCAUUUCAAAUUGAAUUCAGGAUUGGAAGAGGUAUCAAGGUUCCGUGGUGUAGUUAAUUAUCACGUUAGUCUAACACACUGAAGGUCUCCGGUUUGAGUCUGGGCAAAACCAAUUUUAAUCUCUUUUUUUUUUUUUUUCGUUAGUUUUGCUGCAACUUACUCAAGAAGCCAGGGUCCUUGUGUUGAGACUUGCUUUGGUGAAAGGAAAACUUUACUACGAAUUCACGGCAAACAGGACUACAGGAUUUGAAUUAGCUCAAUCAGCAAUUUUUUUGAGUUUUCCUGAUGUGCCAAACUGGAUUGGUGCUGAAACUUUAAGGAGUCUUAUUGGGAGGCUAGAUGCUUCGGAAAUCAAGUUUACUUAUGUCUAGAUUGCAAUAGCAACUUGCCAAAAGGUAUAUUUUGCUAUCCAAGAAAAUUUAACGACAAAUAUGAAAGUAUAGCAGUCGCAGGUAAUCAGCUUAGAAAUAGACAGGAUAUUCUUCUGUCAAACUCUAAACUUCACAACGUGUGAAAUCAGAAGACAACAAGUUCCCUGCUUUUAUGCAUAAGACUUGAGCAAAUACCAAUUCCAUCCUAAGAAAUUGACAUGAAUCAGAUAGACGAGUUACACAGAGGAAAAUAAAUAAGCACUGCAAAAGAUAUGGGAGACCGCCCCAUAUCUUCAGGGUGAGAGCGAAAAUCGAAAACCAUUAGGUUCACAAUUUUCAAACGUAUGUUAAGUAGCAAAACAUCAUCUUUCCCAAUACUAAAGUUCAGUAGCAUUUAGUGUCAAGUAAAAUAUAAGGAAAUAGAUCAGUAAUCUAGUAGUAACUUUUAACUAGUCGAUUAUACUCAAAUGUUUGACAGAUGACUUGUAUCCAGAAAUUAAAAACAAACUAAGAGCAUAUAGAGAAUGGUAGUACUGCAAUCUCAAAACAGAAUACCACACAAUUAUGGAAUUAGCAUUUUGCGUAAGUAUGAAGUCUAAUUACUCUAUUCAAAAAGUGUAUAUCUUUCUGCAUUUUGAUCAGCAUGAAUAGGCUAUCAAUGUAUGCAUUUUCAUCAUUAGUUGGUUCAUAUUAUCUAUAUCAUCAGCCAGUUGAUCAACAUCUUCAUUCAGUUCAUUGGGGUGCCUCCAUCUUGAUCAUGAUUUUGUUCCCUUUUGGAAUUGGAGCUUGUUUGCUUGUGGCGUUUCAAAGAAAUUCAUGCGAGCUUUGAUCUACCGUAAAUAAUAUCAUAUUAUGUUAAAAUAUCUUAAAUUAUUUUAGUCCAACAAUUGAUAUGAGUCUAUGGUUGACUAAGGAGAUGGGGGAGUGAUGAUGUAAGUCCCAACUUAGUUCCUUUGCCCGUUUACUUGUUGAUGUUCUAUUCUUAUCUAUAGUUUUAAAGAUGCAUACAUAAAAAAAGAAAAGUAUUUAUGGUUGUAUUAGCCACAACUACUCGGUCGAUUUUUUUUUUUUUAUAUAAUACUUUUGUACAUCCUAUUUUAUAUGACACACUUUUCUUUUUAAUCCGUCCAAAAAAAAUCUGACCUCACUAUAAUUAGAAAAAAAAAUAUGUAACUUUAAAAUUUUCCUUAAUGAAAUGAUUUGCAAUCAUAUAAACAUUCAAAACUAAUUUCAAACUACAUAUUUAAAAAUCACAUAAAAUGAAACGGAGGAAGUAAUAAUUAAAUAGUAACGAGCUGCGAGAAAGAGAAAACAAAUGCCUAAAUCUUCUUUCACAUGGAUCGUAUCCCCGUCCAAUCAUAUUCAGUUUCCGCCUCUCACAUGGAUCGACAAUUCUAUCCGUCGGAUUAACAAGUAAAUCCCCAAAUAUUUAACGGCUGCAAUUUACCCCCCGCCACAUUUCGAACCGCGAAAAUUCACGGCGCCCAAAUCCCCCAAAUAUAAAUAUCCACCACCAUCUACUUUACUUUUCAUUCAAAUUCAAAACCCUAGUAUCUUUUUCUUCUUCAAAUUUCUGUGUGUGAAAAUGUCUGGUCGUGGAAAGGGAGGCAAAGGAUUGGGAAAGGGAGGAGCCAAGAGGCACAGGAAGGUUCUGAGAGACAACAUCCAGGGAAUUACCAAGCCAGCUAUUCGUAGGCUUGCUCGUAGGGGUGGUGUGAAGCGUAUCUCCGGUCUGAUCUACGAGGAAACCCGUGGAGUUCUCAAGAUCUUUUUGGAGAACGUGAUUCGUGAUUCAGUUACCUACACUGAGCAUGCCAGGAGGAAGACUGUUACUGCUAUGGAUGUUGUUUAUGCCCUCAAGAGGCAGGGAAGAACUCUCUAUGGAUUUGGUGGUUAGAGCAGUUGUUAGGUAGUAGAUGUAGAUGUGAUGGAAAUUUAUGCUGUUUCUGUAUUUU
rnacentral:lncRNA from 1 species